AGAGAGAGAGAGAGAGAGAGAGAGAGAGAGCUGUUUGGAGAUUUCCAGACAAAACAAUCUGGAAAGUUGCCUCAAGCAGAAAUAGGUCAUCGUCAGCUUGGACCCACCAUUUGACUUCAAGUCAUUUGUUUGCUGCUCUCGAACAACCCCUUCUCUCAGAAUCCCUCUCCAAGCCAAGAAGGCUGGUCCUUGGCAGGCCCAAGUGUUGUUACACCAGUAUCCCUUUGCCACUGGGUGAGAGCUGCCAUUAAAGAAUUUUUUCCUCAGGAACAUACUUUUGCCACUUGUGGCGUGCUUGUGGGUAAAGGUGGUUCUUCUGGCAGACAGCAGAGUUCUCAGGCAGAGAAACUCUCAGUCAUCAGCACAGUUGGGAGGACACCCAACAGGACAUGCAUGGUCCUUUUAUUACUGUCCCUGUGAAUGGAGCGUUCACUCUGAGCUUGGCCACAGGAGAGGAAUUUGUGUGUGUGUGUGUCCUUGAACCAAUCAUUCCAGAAUGGCAUGUAGGUAACAGCACGAGAGGAUGGAAAAUGACGUCGUACAUCCUGAGAUGAAAAUAUGCUACCUAUGGAUGCCAAGAAUGAAAUUACACAUUUCACCCACAUGACUUCCCCCGGUGUCAUAACCCUUGGGAAAUGCUAGCCACUCAAAGCCAAAUGGAUACUCUGACCUCUGGUGAUGGAAACGAUCAUAAAGCGAAAGUCUACAGUGAACAGCAAGGGGGUGGAGACUAUGUGAGAAAGAUAAGGCUGCUGUGCCUGGAUGAGAAAAAUGUAAAACAGCAUAGCAAUAAAGGAAGAAACCAUGUCAAGUCUAAAAAACCCACUCCCCCCAAAAAAACCCCAAAACAAAACAAACAAACAAACAAAAAACCUUAAAAACAGAAUCCUUGUAAUAUCCAGAAAUUCUACUUGGGAGAUCGAAAGUGGAUCUUCUGAGCUUCCUGACUAUUUUUAUAACAGCAUUUUAACAACGGUCCAGGCUCCCACCACUGGUGAGGGUAUAGACUUGUGUCAUGUACAUGCAAUGGAAUAUUUCCUUUAAAAAGGAAAUAAACUUGACAUAUACUAUAAUGUGGAUGGGCCUUGAGGACAUUAUGCUGUGCAAAAUGAGCCACUCACAAAAAACAUAAAUGUUAUAUAAUUCUGCUUAUAUAAGGUAUAUAUAAAAUAAAAUAUAUAAUAAAACCCAGAGAGAGAAAUGGUUGAAUGAUGGAGAAGGAAAAGGCUAUCGGAAUUCUGAUCCCUCCACUUCUUAUUUGUAAGUCUGCAAUUCCUUUAGCUAUGGUAGAUGUCUGUGUCAUCCUGGUGUCUGCUGAUGCAGCCCAACAUAGUUGAAUUCACUGCCUGCCCGUUGUCAUCACCUCCAAUGCUAGGGCCCUAAGCAUUCUAAACAGUACAGUUUUAUGGUUUAGAUAGAAAGCGUCCUUUCCAGAAGCCUCUGCGUUAAAGGCUCUGUCCCCAGUUAAUCAUACCACUUUAUUGACUGCUGGUUGGGUGAAGAAGUGUAGUAGUUAGUUCACGGCGGGAUGGGAUGUUAGCAAGUGGGGCUUGGCUACGUGAGGGCAUGCGUCUGAGUCUCACGUCUUUGUCUCCCUCUCUGUCUCGUCCUUUCCCUGGCUACCAUGAGGUAAGAAGCCGUGCUCUGCUCCCAUCAUAGAACUUGGCCUCAGCAGAAGUUCAGACACAAUAGAACCAGCCAACUGUCACUUGACACCCGUAAAACCAUGAGCCUAAAUAAAUGCUUUAAUUUCAGUUGUUUUUCUUGGAUAUCUUUUCAGUGCUGAAACCUAACACCAAGACACUAUAGAUUCUCCUGCUUUACCUUUCUUUUCCAGUAGGAGUUCCGAUUGAUUGGCAUUCCCAAGGCGAGGACAUAGUAACCAGCUACCAUUACUGAGUCUUCUUUGGACUCUACAGGGACUCAUUGCUGUAGUGCAAACUUGGGCACCUUGGACUGGCCCUGUUUGAAGAAUAGAAUUCCCCCUAGAGGGACCUUUAUUUAUAGCACCUGGUUCACCUAUCCUCCAGGAUCAAAGCCAUUUUUUCUCAAUGAUCUUGCCAAGUGCUCUACAUUUAGAUUCAAAGCUUACUGCUUACGACUGACCGUGUUCUGUUCCAUGAAGAUACUUCAAAAGAACUACCUGAUGCAUUCUAUCUCUGUCUGUCUGUCUGACUCUCUGUCUGUCUGUCUAUAAAGUAUCUCAACACUGUGUUGCUUGGAUGCCCCAGAGAAUUAUCAGUCAGAAUUUGUAUGUUUCAGCAACUUCCAUAUUUAGCACCUUAGCUCUUCUCUCUUCUGUCUCUUUGCAUUGAGCUGUCCUCUGGUUUCUUAGCGUGAUUAGCAAUACAUUCCUUUCCUUUCCUUCAUGGUCAUUCACAAUAUUUUACACUGAGGGCCUCGGUGAGUGUCACACAAAUGCUUAUCUCUACCACUGGGUUACACAGGCUCAUGAGGACAAGGUCUUAGCCAGUCUUGGCCACCACAGCAGGCUGACAAUUAGCCUAGUGCUUGACUUGUAAGAUGAUCAUAUGAAAUGAGUAAAUGUAGAGUAGGCCCUGGAAUUAAAAGGAAAACAAAACCUUGCAGAUAUCAUGUGUUUGAUACUGGGCAAGCAAAUAUGGGACAGAAUAUUUGUGUGGUACACAGAGAAGAGCCCAGAAAAGUCAUACUUGUGUUCGUCCAUCAAAGUUCUAGGCUGUCUCUCUUGUGUAAUAGAGAACUGAUGGGUUUGAUAACGUAAUUCACUUUCACAUAUGAGUUACCUGGACACCCUGGCUAUUGAAGAGACCCAGCCAGGACUUUGAACUCAUUAUUUUCUGCAGUUGGAUUGGAAAAGGGGAAAACAGAACUCCUGGGAUUUAAUCCAUUCACUUAGAAUGCACAGACAGCGUUCCUCAGUGGAUCCUGUGGUAAGUGUGUGCCUAGGGAAUUGCCCUUCAGGUUUGACUCUGUGUGUUCACCACUGCCUCUUUGUGCUGCAUGUGGCCAGCAGAAAGCCCACCUACCCUGUGAUAACAUUGUUCCCUUGCUCCUCAGCACUCGCUACUCCUCCUCCCUUGCCUGAGUUUAGGCAAAGUACACUUUAUUGAAUUCUUCUAAUCUUUCCUGACAGAUCAAUUCUUCUGGGCUCUUAAUUAUUCAUGUGGCUCCCCCUUAAAUCUCCUUCAGGCUACUGACUCUUUUGAGGCAGCAGGCUAGCUCCGCUCAGGCAGCUCAUUUAUUUCCCAGGAGGUGAGCAUCUGUGCUCAGGGCCAGAACUGUAAAGAGGGCAGAUGGGGGUUGGGGGUGGUUAGUGGUGAGGUGUCCUGCAGGGAGAGGAGUUAGAAGGUCUCGUUUUUAAAAUAUGACUGUCCUGCUUAGGAGCUAACAAUGCUGUUCAACUUCUUCAGCAAUCUCAAUUAUAUAACGAUUUUUUUUUAAAGUUCAUUAAUCGUCCGGGAUAUCAGAAAUAUCAAGUAGUAGGGUUCCACAAGUGGACCCUCCCGGGGAACCUUUGAUAGUCUUGUAAGCUGCAAACUUCCCUUCCCUUAGCACAGUGGUUCUCAACCUGUGUGUCACAGCUUCCACAGGGGUCGCAUAUCAGAUAUUCUGCAAGUCGAAUAUUUAUGAUUCAGAACGGUAGCAAAAUUACAGUUAUGAAGUAGCAGCAAGAAUAAUUUUAUGGUUGAGGGUCACUACAAUAUGAAGAACUGUAUGAAAGGGUCGCAGCAUUAGGAAGGUUGCCAACCACUGCUAACACAUGGCUUUCUACGCGAUAGCUUCUCGGUAGCUGGCCAUAUGCCCACUAUAUUUAUACCAUUGAAUAGGGAUGGUCCUUUAAGAUAAGGUUUUAGCUGCUAAAUGUGCUCAGAACAAAGAAGAGUUUCCAUGAAAAUUCAGAAAGACGUCAUUCAUUGAAACAGAAUAGGAUAAAGACUUCUUAACACGAGAAGCUUGUUGUCCUGUUUUGAGAUUGUAGAAUUACCCUCCUGGCAACUCCCAUGCCUGUAAGACUUACAAACUUCCCAUUCUCCAAGACCAACCCAGCCAGAGCACUGGAUAACCUGUGACUGAUAAAACAGUUCAAUCCUGAGCAACGUGAGACCUUUGGUUACCCUGCGCUGAAAUACCUUGCCCCUUGUACUGCAACUCCACCAUAAUGUUUUAACUACAAACACCAUCUUGUUGUGGAACAAUGCCAUGACCAUCUCUCUCUUUAAUCUGGAAUCUGAAGUCCUUCCCUAAAAUGGUUCCACUUUACGGCCCCAGCCUCAUCUACAUGCCCUCCUCCUACACCUGUGGCUGCUGACAGCAGCUCCCUGGCCUCCGGUAUGUCCUUUCACACACAGGCCUUUAUUUUUUCACCUCCUAGUCUUCAGAAGUGAUUUUUUUCCCCUAUAGAGUUUAUUAACACAAAUCCAGAUGACCACCAAAGAGCUAGCCAACAGUCAGAGUGGAAGUCCAAGGCACAGGUGCCUCAUAGACAGAUGUAUCAGUUGUUAGCCUGAAGAUUAUGUCUUAAAUGAUACCAUGUGAAAAUGCCCAUGUAAAGCUGGGGCUACAGCCCUGUGCUAGCAUGUCUGCCUACCAUGUACAAGGCCCAACGUGCAGUCCCUAUCACUGAUGGGAAGCAACAUGACAUGGGAGUGUAGGCAAUGGAGGACUUACAUCCCCUCACGGUUAGGUGGCUGCUGCCCUCAGACAGACUCCCCAUUUAGCAGAAAGUUUACCCCAGACAGAUACAGAAGGCUCGCUGGAAGUUUCUUUGUGUUUUCUUUUUAUGGAAAAAAUAACCCUCUCUACUCAGUCUAGCAAAAUCACUCUCUUGCUAGCUCUGGCACCGUCAACAGCUCCAUGCUACCUCCAAGUACUCUCUGAUCUGGACAGCCUGUCAGCCAUUCCAGUAUGGCACCUUGCCACGCUGGUCUCUAGACUUGGUUCUGGCACCCGUGGGGCCAAAUGGAGCUAACCAUAAUUUAUCUCUAGUUAGUAUCUCUCCCGGCAGCUCCCUGCUAGCCGCAAACUCCCUGGUUCCAGCUACCUGGUAAACUCAGGGCUCUAGAAGUCCAGCAUGGGCUGGCCUAUCAUGGCUCCCUGCCACGAACUCUGCUCACGCUCCCAACAGCCCAGUGAAACCAAGACUCAACAAACUGCAACCCAACAAUCAGAUUUAUAUGUUAAAUUCUCAAUCCACAAUACAUCCACACAAUAAACACAACCAAUUGAUAAGGAUACAAACCGCCCACCUAGAUAAGAUAAAUUUGCCUACAGAAAUCUAUCCCAACUACCUUAGCAAUUCAAAACCACCCAGAUCUGGGUCGUCCUUCUCAGUCUCCAUCUUGAUUCUCCUAGCUCCUUCUCUCCUGUUUCUCCCUCUCCUUCUAAACUCUCUGUUCCCACCUCCCUUCCUUCUCAUCCAAUGACAGGCCUCAUUUUAUCUUGUCUGUCUUCACCUGCCUAAUGACGUCAACCUACAAAAACCAAACCAAGGAAACCCAGUGGCUGUCUUUGUGUCUAGUACUUGUCUGACUCAUUUAGGCAUCUGGACACGGGCAUUCUAGCCUAAGACAUGAGUUGGCAAGCUCCUUCUGUAAAGGAUUAGAGAGUAAAUAUGCAGGGUGUGGGAUUAUUUCUGCAACUCCUCCAACUCAUCUCUGUAGUGUGGUAACAACCUUAGGAAAAAAUGAGGGAGUAAAAGAACUUAAUCAAUAACAGUAGGCACUGGGCUGCAUUUGGCUUCGGUCCCCCUGACUUCAAAUCCCCAUCUAGUCCAUGUCUCUCCUUUUACAGAUGGUAAGAUGCAGGAAUCAGUUGCUAGUGUGUUACAGAAGUGAUGCUAAGAUAUCGAGUUUUCAGGGGUGAAGAGAUGGCUCAGUGGUUAGCACUGCCUACUCUUCGAGGAGACUCUGGCUCUAUUCACAGCAGCCGUAUGGUGACUCAUAACUGUCUGUAACUCCAUUACUAGGGCCCAUAAUCCCCUCUUCUGGCUUCUACAGGUACUGCGUGCCUGUGGUACACAGGCGGAACACCCGUCUACCUAAAUUAAAAACUACUACUAAUAUAUGUAAAGGCUUUUCAAUUCACAAAAGUCCCACAGAAAUGCCAGCACUCCGUGGUCUCAUUCACCUUCAUCCAGGGCUUUAUAAGCCCUUCUUCCCUCAGCCCCCAGGAGAUAAAUAAUAAAUCAUAAAUAUCCAUGCAUCUCUCUCACCUCUACUACCGUGUUAAAAGUCCUUGCCUUAUGUGGUUCUUAAACAGUACCCAUGAUGUUACAAAAGGUAUUUCAUGUAGAGUAGGUACUCAUUUGCCUAUGUAAAAAUUUAGUAUAGAUGGGAUCCUGUGUGGGGAUUACAAGAUACUUGGAGUAGGUACUUUCCAGUGGGAGUGGGAGAGGUGGAAGGCGUUGAAGACGCUUCCCAACUUAACUUUCCUGGGCUAACUCUAGGAAUGUGUUGACUGUAACUCCUGGCAUAGAUAUAUCUUUUUUCCUUAUGACUCUGGUCAUCAUGUUCUGACUUCACUGUUGCACUAGACUUCUUCUGCUGGUUUUGUCCCUACCCUGAGAGAUACAGGGGUAGCAUUAAAAUGUUAGCUACAAUGGGAUUGCAGAGUAUAGGAAAUGCUUGUUUCUCGUUCAUCUCAGGGAAAGGCCAUUUUAAUAAAAGCCCACGUAUCUUAGAAUUAUUGUAUCUAUCCCUUUUGAUCCAAAUAUUACUUCCUAAUUUGGAAGGCUGAGCUAUAUACAUGUUCUUCUUUUAUACAAUGUUGAUGUUUUAUGAAAAUUACUUUUUUUUUAAAGCCACCUGAAAAGAUCCCAUGGAGAUCUGGUAUUUUCUGUUUACGUCAGAGAUGUUAGUGGGAGAUUGGGAAAUAGGUUUCAUCACACGCUCUAUCUCCAUUCAGCUGUUUCUGGGUGGCUGCAGCACUGUGAUCAGAAGUGCUGUGAAGCGGCAUGCAGGCUCAGUGAGCUCAGUGAUUGGUUAGUGAUAUCUUUCCUGGUGCAGAAGGAGGUAGUGGGGCUUGUAGGCUAUAUACCCUCAGUUAUUAAUUUAGAAAGGGGAGGGGUUGUGGGAGAGUGGAGAGUGGCAAGCAUGUUUUAUUUACUGCAUCUUUUUGGCCCAAUAAUAAAGACAAAGAUGUAAGAAUGGAGGAGUUGAUCAAUGGUGAAGAUGGCCAACAGUGGACUGGUGGAGCUGUACAUACUUAAGCUGUGAAUGAUACUGUGGGUUGACGUCAUUAUGCAGGUGAAGGCAGACAAGAUAAAAUGAGACCUGACAUUGGAUGAAAAGGAAGGGUAGGGGGAACAGAGGUUUUAAGAGAGAGAGAAACAGGAGAGAGGGAGCUGGGAGAACAUGGCAGCAGAUGUUAAGAUUCUUCUCUGCAGAUAGGUACAGGUUUAUAUAAAAUUUUUAAGGGAUGGGUGUGUACAGGAUUUUGCGUUGUCUAGAUGGGCAAAUUAUAUCUUAUCAAUUGGAUUAGAGGUUAUUGUGUGGUAUGUUCUUUAAUUGAGUUCAAGAGGUGUGGUGGUGGGACACACCAAGCCAGCCGUGGAAUUGGGAUGUGUAUGCCUGGCGUGGUAACAACCCGCCAAGGGAACUGUGAGUGUAAGCAAAGCAGCAUGGCAAGGUGCCACGCUGGAGCGGCUCGAGGACCGCCUGGGUUAGAGAAUACCAUGGGAGCCAGCGUGCCGCCACUGAGAUAAAUUAGCCCACCUGAGCAGGAACUAGUAAGAGAGUGACUGCCCGCUAUGUGCAGGAACUGGUUGAUUGUGCCUUUUUCUUUUUUACCACAACAUGAUGUGGUAGACAGAAACUCAGGAAUGAUCAGCUUCGAGCAUAAGGACUCAAUGGCUUUUACCUGAGCAGUUUUAUAAGGACCUAGAGGUACUGUUGCCUUUCAUUGGUCUGUCUGAGAUCCUCUGAGUGAUAUCUAUGGCCACACCACGCUGACCUCUCUGUGUUAUUUGUAGUGUAAGGAGAUAAGAGUCAGGUGAUACUUUGGGGCAAAGACAUGUUGCUGUUACAUAAUAGCACUUACUGUUACCCCAUGAAGAAAAAUAAUGUAUUUCUCCUAAUUCUGGUGAUGGAGAAGGCCAAGACUGACCAGCUACAUCUUUUGCUGCAUCCUGUAAUAAGACACAGCAAGAACACUAGCUCAAGUGUCUCCCCUGUGAUGACAAGGCCAUUAGUGCCAUGGUAAGGAGGCAGGACCAUCCUCGUGACCUUAUCUAACCCUAAUUGCUUCCCAAAGACCCAUGCUCCAAAUACCAUCAAGAUAUGGAUUUGAGGGUUACAUUUCUGAUAAACUUGGAGGAGGGUACCUUCCAACCAAACAAGGCUUGGCUACAGCUCAGUGGCAGUGUUUGGCCAGCAUGAGCUCCUCUGUUCUACCUUGGUGGAUAGGUGAGAAAAAGAAAGAGGAGAUAGAUACCAGUUGAUGGAUCUAAAAAUCUGGUGCUCAGAAGACAUCUAAACAGGGGCCAAGGAGAUGGCUUGGUAGGCUAAGCAGUUGCUGCCCAAAUAUGGGGACCUAUGAUAGGAUCUCCAGUAUGUACCUAAAAAGCCAGAUAUGACAUUGUGGCCCUGUGAUCCCAAAACUGGGGCCGCAACAGGCAGAUCACAGGAGCUUGUUGGCUAGACAAUCUAUAAUCAAAGCAGCUACAGGUUCAUUGAUAUACCUUGUCUCUACAAAACAACUUGGAGUGGGGCGAGGAAGACACCUUUGUCAACUGCUGGCCCCUGCAUGGCUAUGCACACACAGGUACCUUCGUACACACACACACACACACACACACACACACACACACACACACACACACCUGUACUCACACGAAAAGGUACAUUUGGGACCUGACAGAGACAAGGGUAGGAUGGUUUUCCCAAAAAGAAGACAAGGGUGAGUGAGCGUGGCAGAGGACACCUCCUCUGACCAGGGCAGCCAAUUCUUUUAGCAUCUUCUUCUUACAGCUGUGGAGAAGCACCUGGCCAAGCAAUUAUACUGAUAAAAACAGUAAUAGGGAGAAAAUAAAAGGCAAAAAUAUUUCUUUAAAGGAAACGUUCUCAGAUGAGGAGAGCUCAAAUAUGUCACUAGCUUUCCCGGGAGCUAAUUUGCUUGUUUAUUAUCAACCAGUUUUAAAAGGCUGCAUCCCACCUUCUGGAGCUAUUUUCAGGAAAAUGGAGAUAUUUUGGAAGCUUGUCUUAGCUAGGAUUUCCAUUGCUGUGAAGAGAAACCAUGACCAAGGUAACUUGAGCAUUUAAGGCCUCAAAGCCCCACCUCCACAGUGACAUACUUCCUCUGAUAAGGCCACACCUCCUCCAAUAAGGCCACAUCUCCUAAUGGUGUCACUUCUUAUGGUCAAACAUUCAAACACAUGAAUCUAUGGGGACCAUACCUAUUCAAACCACAGACGUGUCUUAAUAUACAGAUCUUUUCUCAUUAAAUAUUCUCUCUCUCUCUCUCUCUCUCUCUCUCUCUCUCUCUCUCUCUCUCUCCUUUGAAACUGGAGCAUGUGAUUUUUUUUAGCUGGGCUAGAAGCCAGCGAUCCAGCAACCUUCUAAUAGCAUGGUAGCAGGCACACACAGCUAUGCCGGAUGCUGUAUGAGGUUGCCAAAAAUCUGAACUCAGGUUUUAACAUUGCCCAAUGAACAUUUAGCCACGCAUCUCCCAGCUUCUCCUUUUUUUUUUUUUUUUAAUUCUGUGUAAUGGAAACGGGGAGGUAGCUGCAUGACGGAAUGUUUUUCUUCAAUGUACAAAGAUAUAUAUUAAAUAUUUCAUAUUUAUAUUUUAUAUAUUUUAUCCUGCAUAUCACACUCCCAAAAGGUGAAUGGAGCCAGAAUGUCCAUAUUACUCUCUACCUGUCUCACCUGCACUCUUUCCAGAAGGGCUUUGCCAUUCCCAGUCCCUGCCAGAGCCAGACCUUGUAGACUGUGUCCAUUGCCAUGUCCCGGUACCUGAUGCCACUGGAUAAAGCCCAGCUCAGGACCCAGACGGUGGCUUUGUAUCUGACUGGGAAGCUCCUGCAUCAGGAGAUGAGUGAGGUGAAGCCCUGAGUCUACUGGGACUGGAACAUUGAGAUAAAGGCAGAAGUUGCUGAGAUGGAGAGUUCAGGAAAUACAAGGACCAGAAUGACCACAGUAGGCCUCCUCUUUGAAUCCAGAAGAACUAAAACAAAUCAACCUAUAUUUUCCUCUUGAUUUGCAGUUCCUUAAUUACUUUUUAUUAAACUGGAGGAUAUUAUAACUUUAGUGUUAAGUUGAAUAUUUUAAGUUUUAGAACAAAGAUCCUUCCUGUAAACCAGGAUACCACGAUAACGUAAUGAUAGAAUCAUGGAGAACUUGCCCACCUCCCUACAGGCCAUAGAAUGGUUACAAGAUCCCAGCAGCAUGCGAAGAUUUACCCAUUUGUGUAAACCCAUCCAAAGACCUGAGUUUGUAUAGACUAGUCCUCCUCAGCAUGGCCGUUUUAGGAAGGGAGGGACUCUUAUUACAAACAGUAUUCUACUUAUAUCAAACUCAGUUUCUGCAUUUGCUGCAUUUGCUAGAAAGCCAGGAAUCCUAGCUUAGCACCUUGAGGAAGUCGCCAGCCUAGACCUAAGAUCAUCUGGGAAGCCCUCUGAGUGAUGCGGAAAGAGACUGCACAAAGGUAAGAUCCAAUCAUAGCGUCCCUCGGGACACCUGAGCCCUCUGUAACCUCGGGGAUCAGAUGAGAGCUGAUAGUUAAUAAAGUUUCUGGUUUGGAGGGGAGCAGAGCAGCAAAUCACAUGGACUGGAUUUAGGCCCAGUGACCUCUCUAAGCCACUGUCACCAGGUUAAUGAGAUGCAAGAAUUCAUUCACCCUUGUGGAGAAAGGCUUUGUCUUGGCUUUUGCUGGAUGUUAUUGACAAGGAUAGUUCAGGCCUCCAUUUUCACUGGCUCGCUCCUUGGAUCUGGUUGGAUCGGGGUCCACUUCUGUUGCAAUCAUGAUGCCAAUAUGAAGGGUCAGUGAACUAUGGGUGGUAUGAUAUUGUGCAGAAAUAUUGCACUCAGCGUAAAUCCACAGGCCCAGCCUUAUUGUUUCAUUUGCUUCCAGCUAUGCGGACAUGGGGGACACUUAAUGUCUGUAAGCUUGUCCAUUUUAUUGGUUCACAUGAGGUCAUACGGACCUCUGGCCUGCAGAACCCUGACUUCUCGAAUCACUAAGGGCUUAAAGCAAAGACAUAGCUGUUUCCUUUAUUAAAAAGUAGAAAAUAUACACAGGGCACAAAAGAACAUAUCAAAUAUAUGUGCCGCUUAAGGAAAAAUACAGUAAGCACCCGCGAACCUUGCCAACCUGCCAAGAACCAAUAUUUGUAGCCGACAGUGGUUAUCAUGCCUUAAGUCACCUCCUUUGUUCUACCUAAGGCCAAAAUAGCCUCCUGAGGAGUAUGGUGUCAGCCUGUGUUUGCUGUUAGUCGCACCUGUACUUUUCUGACUUAUGUUUUACAAAUCUUAUUAUAAGAAAACACGCACCAAAAUUAACUAGCCCUAAAGUCUACACGUCUCAAUGAACUUCUGUAGAAUUUGAUUAGCUGGGGCUUCACACUGGAUUUUUUGCUUUUGUUAUCAAGUACAUUUUCACACACCUCUCUACCACCAAGACCCAAAGUGCAAUGACAAGAAAUAGAAACGCAGUUAGCUUUGCAUCCUCUUUUAUAACUCAUGCCUGCUCUCUGCGUUUAGUUCUCGCUCAUCCCUUAACUGUCUUUCCUCUUCUCUCUCCUACCUAUUACACUGAACCACUCUUUUUGGUGGCUGUACUAUGUGUCUAGCUGUCUCCAAAUAAUGUAAGGCCUCCUUUGUCCUUUGUCUUAAUGCUAGCCUUGAGUUUUCUUCAUACCGCCGUAGCAAUGUAUACUUAUGAAUGCGCCAUAAUCCACUCUACUGUAGGUGAACGUCUGCACGGUUUCCACAAUUUUACGAGUAGGACCAUGCUGUCUGAACAUUCUUAAAUACGUUUCCUGGCAGCUAAGAGCGUGUGUUUCUGUGGGAUUCACUCCUGAGGGUAGGAGUACCAGAUUUUAGCCACCAAGCCAUGCAGCUAUGUUGACAGACGUUCUGGUUUAACUGACAGCAGUAGACAGGUGCUACUUGCUUUCGUUUGUACUUUUAGUUUCUCAUAGCUUUAUCCAAACUUAGAAUUUCCACCUGAUGCUGUGAAAGGAUCAUCAGUCCGCAAAGUGCUUGCCGUGAAAGCCUGAGGACCUGAGUUUGGUCCCCAAAAAACCACAUUAGAAAGAGUCAGAUAUGGUGGUGCACACUUGCAAUUCUAGGUUAGGGAGGUGGAGACAGAUGGAUUGCUGGAGCUCACGGCCUAGCCAAUCAAGUGUACUUGGUGAGUUCCAGCUCAUUGAGAAAACCGUCCCAAUGAAAUUGAAAAUAAGGCAGACAGUGCCUGAGAAAUUACACCAAGGGUAUAACUGUCUUCUGCACAAGGUCCACACAUGUCAUAAACACAAACACAGAGAGAUAAAGAAGAAAAGGAAACACACACACACACACACACACACACACACACACACACACAAUUCCACAGCUAGGCCAUAUCUAAAUGCUUUUAUACACUUAUUCUCUUCACUUAAUAGGAUAAUGAAAUAUUCUUCUAUUCCGAAUCUGCUAGGAUAUUUAUCAUGAAUGGAUGCUAUAUUUUGUUUAAUUACUAUUAUUAGUUUACAGGUCUAAAGAAAAAUCAGAUGUUUAUAAUUUAAGCUACUAAUGAUGCAAGCUUCCCUAUUAAGCCAACUCUACACUCCUGAUAUCAGACAAAGGAAGUAUGGUACGAGCCUUAAACCUUUUAUUUACAUUGAUUUACUUGUGUGUGCACAGGGGUUUGUGCACGAGUCCUUCUAACCCCCUAACAUGGGAUCCCUUUCCUUUUCCUCUGUUUUUAAUCAUAAAUUCUAGCUUUUGUUGUACGUUCUUUGACAUUGUUGCUUGAUUAUUCUCAAGCCUUUUAAUCAUUUGAUAUUACUAGAAAUAGGAUCAUUCUCUUAAUCUCCUUCUUACGCGAUUCACUGUUAAUGCACAUAAAUACCAAUGACCUUUGUAAACUGAUUCUGUAUCUUUAAUGUGUUCAUUUAUUAAUUCUAAUAAUUGGUGAACUAUUUAAAGUCAUAUGCAAGUAUGGAUAUGCAUAAGUACAUACCACCAUGUUAUCUGCAGAAAAGGAUCAACUCACUUCUUCCUGUCUGAUUUGGGUGCUAUUUUUGGCUUGCCUUAUGACUCCAGCUCACAUUAUUUGUCCUUAUAAAAACUGUUCAGUGUUUUUGACCUUGAAUCUGAUGGUAUCUGUGGGCUUUCCUUGGGUGAACUUUAUUAUACUGAGAGAAGUUCCUUCUAUGCCUAGUUUGUUUCAAAUGCAGCCUACAGAAAAAGUGAAAACUAUAUAGAUGAUAAGUGAUUAAUAUCCGAAAUAGGUAAUAAACUCUCCAAAUCAAACAGUGAUCAUAAAGCUAACGGUGGUCGAGUUGAAGUCGGCAAUAGGAUGUGGAAAGGGAGUUCCCUAAGGAUGCCACAGAGAUGCCCAGCAGGUACUUAACAACUGCUCGGCAUCAAUGAUGACUGGAAAUGUUAAGUCAAAACAACACCCAAGUAUCACUUCAGUCCUGUUGGCAUGAUAUUUUUAAGAAGCAGAAACAAAGAGAUGUGGGGCUGGAGAGAUGACUCAGUAGCUGAAGUACUUGCUGCUCAAGCAAGAGGACAUGAGUUCAGGUCUGCAACAUCCACAUAAAUACCUGUACAUAGUGGCCCAUGCCUGUAACCCCAGCUGUGUGUAGGGUAGCAGAGGCAGAUAGUUGCUAGGGGAUUAUAGGUCAAACAGUUAAUUUCAGGAUCAAUGAGAGAAAUAUAUAUACAUAUAUAUUAAAAUAGAUAAUAGAUGGAUGGAUAGAUGGAUACAUCAGAUAGAUAGAUAGAUAGAUAGAUAGAUAGAUAGAUAGAUAGAUAGAUAAUCGAUGGAUGGAUGGAUAUAUAUGGUAGACAGAUAGAUAGAUUAGAUAGGUAGAUAUAGAUAGAUAGAUAGAUAGAUAGAUAGAUAGAUAGAUAGAUAGAUGAUAGCAAGCAUAGAGAUGAAUAUAUAUAUAAUUUAAUAUAUACACACAGGUAUGUAAAUAAAAAGACAACAUGUGCACCUCCACAAAAAUAAACAAUAUUCAAGAAAAUAAAAUUUAUGCUCAAAGAAUGAAAAGAACGAUAGUAUACCUGUAUUUUCUAUUCGCAGAAGGCUGAGGCAAAAGAACUAUGAAUGCAUUGCUAGUGUGGGCACACAGUGAAGAAUCUGUCUAAACGAAGCAGAACAAAUUGCCCACUUAAAAUGUUGUUGGUGGCAUCAAUUUCAUGUUGCCUCUCUACUUAAAAUAAAUAAACGAACAAAUCUGUAAUGUGAAAUAAAGUAGGUGGAGUAAUGUAAACUCCCAGGAGAAGAGGCCAGGUAAGGCCAUGUCAUGCCCACAGCACCGCACUGCUUCCUCAGGCUCCUGAGGUAAAUACAUGGGCGUAGUUUGCUUGGGCUGUCAGAAAUCUAACCACCCAGGCAGAACACAACUUAUUUCCUCUUGCUUGCUAAGUUUUUGAUUGUAUUGGAACAGAUGUGUUUCUCCUGAUUCAUUUAAGCCACACCAGUAGACUCUAAGAGGACUGGAGACUCACAUUAAAGUAAGAUUUGACUGUUUCCAUUUGGAAGCAAUGUAGGAUCAUGUGGCUCUCUUAUCAUGAAGUUGGGCUGCAAGCUUCGUUAUGCCCUGGUUCUUAACUAAACUUUUAAACAAUCCAGAUAGCUCUCACAUUUCCCAGGAAAAGUAAUGGCAAUAAAAGAUUUGAUGAGAGGGGACCCAUCUUUCUUCUCAGGUCUAUAUCUCCACCCCCUACCCCCCAACUGUGGUGUAGGAAAUAAUUCCACUGGAAGAAUCAGUUCUCCACGGGAGUCUAGAGGGAGAUUAGUUUAGGAGACUAAACUUUGAGCUUCCUGGAUAGGAGCUAUUUUGUCAUUUUUGACAUUACAGGAUUAUUGUCUUAAAUACCUGAUACCUCUCAAACUUAGGCUUUACCAUUCUACCUGUUUCCUAGGCCUUUGCAGAAAGGAGCCCAGGAACUGGCAGAGGCUGACCUUAACAAGGCAAAGCAUGAUGCUUCUGUAUGACGAGGGGUCAGUAGCAAGAGAGAGACACAGGGUAAGGCAGGAGAGGGACCCAUUUCCUUACUGACUCUUUUUUUCAUUUAUUUAUAUAUUUAUUUAUUUAUUAACUCUACUUCCCAAAUGCAGCCCCCUACCUCCCCUCUUCCCAAUCCCACCCUCAUCCUCAUCACCCUACCCUCUCCCCUCUUCUCAGAGAAGGAGAGAUCCCCCUAUGGGAGCCAACCUACCAUGACAGAUCAAGUCCCAGUAGAACUAGGUACAUUCUCUCCCUCUGAGGCCAGACAAAGCAGCCCAGCUAAGGGAAAACAUACAAAGGCAAGCAACAGAGUCAGAGACCCCCACCACCCAUGGUUCCAGUUGUAAGGGGAUCCCCAUGAAGAGCAAGCUGCACAUCUGCUACCGUGUGUAGAGGGGUCUAGCCUGACACCCCUGCUCCCUCAACUUCCUCCCACUCUUCCACGAGACUCCCCAGGGUUUACCUCAUGUUUGGCUGUGGGUCUCUGCAUCUGUUUCCAACAAGUACUGGAUGAGGCCUCUCAGGAGACAGUCAUGCUAGGCUCCUGUCAGCAGGCAUGGUGGAAUACCAUUAAUAGUGUCUAGGGUUAGCUCUCUCCCAAGGGAUGGGUCUCAAGUUGGGCCCGCCAUUUAUUGGUCAUUUCCUCAAUCUCUACUGGCUAUAUUUUUUAAAUUCUUCUCUCAUAUAUUGUAUCCAGACCACUGUCCCCACCCCCACUCAUUCCCUUCCUACUACCUCCCCUCUCCCCUAGAUCUAUCCCUUCUCUCUUUCUCUUCAGAAAGGAGCAGGCCUCUCAGGGAUCUUGACCAAACAUUGCAUACAUACCAAGUUGCAAAAAGUCUAGGUUAGGCACAUAUCUUCAUAUCAAGACUGGAUGAGUAACUCAGUAAGAGGAAAAGGGUCCCAAAAGCAGGCAAAAGAGUAAGAGACAGCCCCUGCUCCCACUGUCAGUGUGUGUGUGUGUGUGUGUGUGUGUGUGUGUGUGUGUGUGUGUGUGUGUAGCCCUGGGUCAGACACAUUUGGGCUCCCUGAUUGUCAGUUCAGUCUCUGAGCCCCUGUGAGGCCUGGUUAGUGGAUUCUGUGGGUUUUCUUGUUGUGAAGCACCAGCAUCUUGACGAGAAGAAUGGUGGUAUAAGAUCUGGUGAUGACUACCAUUAUUGCUGGGACUAAGAAGGCAUCAGAUAGCAUCACCGCUUGACUCCUAAAGGGCUAUGGUUCUUUAUCUUCUCUUAAGAUGGGUCUCCAGAGAAAAUAUGCUGAAUAAAUUGUCAACUGAUAACCUACUCAGACAUGUAGUUGGUGACUCAUAAUUGUCAAACUGGGGCUAAGGUACAGGAAAGAAACAGAGCCUUUUCUCGUGGUGGGUCUACAUCAGUGACCUUCGAGGACAUGAAUGCACCCAUUUUACAGAUAGUCAGUUGGGUCAGCUUCCUCACUAAAGCCUUCACAGAUAGUGAAAUGGGGAGGAAGCAGAAUUCUUCAGUGUGACAGAGACUUUCUAACGUCCAGUGAGAGUGAGAGUAACUCACAAGUUAGGGUGUCAAAAACUUACGAUCACAUAAAGUUUCCAUAAAGUCAAUAGCCUCCGGUUCUUGUCCUACUAAUUGAAAUGUGUCUCAUGGAGCACAGGGAGGGUGAGGAUUUGGAAAGGACCUUAUUAUGGGAGUGCAGAUUGGGGUUUAAGAUAGAGCAAGCCCACCUCCAGUGUGACAAGAGGACCAAUGUGUUGCUAGUUUAGUGUCCUUUUAUAGGACUUACAACAAAAAGUGGACUGAGACACGUGGUGGGAGCUGGUCCAUCCAGUUGACCUACCCUGCAGGUGUCUAUGUAUUUCUCUAUCCCAACUGCAUUGGUUAGAGUUUUGGCCGCAUUUUCACAUAAAGCCAUCAAGCAGAAAUAGAGGAAAGAUAACAAGAAGUCAGAUGGUGAACUAGAGUGUCCUGGUAUUUAUGGAAUUUUUGGCCUCUGGCUGGGACAGAACCAAACCCUUUCUGGCCAAGGACAAGAAGAGAGGACCCUAUCCCUAAUCUGCUUAAUGAGGUUCUAUCUCACCCCUAGAAUGUGGUAGAAAUGAGUGACCAUCCAGUGUCCUUCUGAUUUUGUCUCCUUUCUGCAUAAGUCAUAAGUUACCUUACUCAUGAAGGUCUGUACAACCCCACUGAGUUAGAAGCCUCCCAUAGUGCAGUGGGGUUCCCCCUCUUCAUUGCUAUAUUUGCCAAUGUUCCCCAUCUGUACCAUUUCCUCUGAGUAACACUGGCAGCUGCUAGCAUGGACCUGCUUGGAGUCCUAGCUAGACUGAAUCCAAGGGAGGGCUUUGUGCAGACCAAAGGAAGACUCAGACCCAAGGCAAACAGGUAAGGGAAGAUAAGGCCCCACUGACGCAUACAUCUUUGAUAGUCUGGGAUAGCCUCAGCCAGCUGUUCUACAUGGGACCCUCAGUACAGCCACAAUACAUAGCCCCAAAUAUUUAGGUUACAAACAACCCAGAAUCAGCAGACUGAAAGCAUUCUCCCGUCAAAGAAACAGUUGUGUAUCUUCUAUACAUCAGGCUAGGCAAAGGUACUGAUUUCAUAGAAUAUGGCUCCCUCUCUUGACUACCACCUAGUGCUAUGUUGCUGUAUUACAGACAAAUGGGUUUUGAUCCCUUCUUCUCAGGGUAUAAGAGAGAGUUCCCAGAGAAAAAUCUCUGGGGAGGGAGCAUUGUAGGAUGAAUAGGAGUUUUCUAGGAAGGGAAGAGCAAAUGACAACUACAGGUCUAUUUCUACCACAUGUACAUAUAUCACGAGUUCCUCAUGAGUACAUUUAGUACCUCACUGAUGUGGAGGAUCGCUUUGUAACCCCUGUACCUGGGAGGCUGAGAAAGGACGGUUGUAGUAGGUUCAAUGUCAUCUUAGGCUACACAGUGAGUUUCAGAACAGUAUGGCUUAUAACAUGAGACCCUGUCUCAAAACAACAAUAAAAGGGCCAUCGCUGCUCAUAGAUAUCACUGUAUUUAGCCAAUAACAAGACUUGCUCAUUAAUGUUUCCUGUUGGUGUUGGUGACGGUACAAAUUGAGCUCCCACUAUCAUUAUUCAAAGUGUUAUUUGCCUUUAAGGUCACAUAAGAGCAGUCCAUUUAGUGGUAAUAGUGACUGUCUUAUUACUGGCCUCAUGUGUGCCUACUGUGUCCCAGACUCUUCAGUGUUGGUUAUGUGUGCGACCUCAUCUCAGUUUUAUACCAGCCCAGAGAGCCAGACCUUCCUGCCUUUACUUGGCAGUUGAGAGAACAGAGAGGUUAGAUACUGUGGCACACUUUGGCCUUAUCAGUCAUCUGCUUGACCAGCAGCAAGUCUCCGAACUAGCCCGUGUCAGGCUUCUCAUUAGCAACACGUCUAAUGCCAUAGGUGUCCAUAGUGUGUUGAAGGGUGAAGCAAGGUGAUGUGGGUUUGUCUGCUGCUCUGUGCUCAGCUCCAUUAGGUGAGGGAGGGGUCUGUCUAAUUCUUACUGCUAUUAUAGAGGUUGGCUUGCCUAGGACUAGUGUCUUAUCUGACUCCAAAAUAAACUUAGGUGGUGUGAAAACAGAACCAAUGCCUGGGCAAAUUUGCAGAAACAAGGAAGUUAUCAAAAUGUCACAUGUUAUAAAUGAAGGUGGACAUGACACAUAAUUCUUGUCCUUAUGAAGCACCGAGGAAAGGGUUUGGAACGUAAGAAAAUAAAUAUACAAGAGCGUUGAAUACAAAUGUAUGAAGCCAACUUACAAAAUUCUCUUAUUUGUUUUUUUUUUUAAUGGCCUAUUUUCCUCGGAUAUUUGCUCCGCCUCUCCCGUUCAUCUUCAUGUGGAAUAUAGGUAUAUAUGUGGAAAAGAGAUGAAAAUGAACUUGUAAUUAGAUAGGCUAUGUAAUUUCUUUUCAUGCAUAUGUGCAUGCUAUGUUUCUGUAACAUGUGUGUGCAUGUGCAUGAUAGUGCAUAUAGAAGCCUGGGUUUGACGUUAGGAGGCAUCUGUCAUUACUCCUCCACCUUUUACUAUGAGGCGAACUCUCUCACUCAGACCCAGAGUUUGCCCAUACGGCUAGUCAGGCUAGUCAGGCUAGUCAGUCUGCUGUUAGAAUUCCCUGUCUCCACCUUUCCAGGCUGGAAGUAGGAAUGAGAAUACACAUACACCCAGCAUUUAUGUGGUUCACUGGGGACCUGAACUCAGGUCCUGAUGUGGCCAGAGCCACAUCACUGAAUUAACCACUGAGUCCCCCCCCCAGCCUCUUAUUAUAUGUAAUUUCUUUUUUAUUUAGCUUUGUGUGGUCUCAGUGAUGAGCUUUGCCAUUGACCGCUGCUUUAAGAACCACAACCAUUGGUAAACGUCAUUCUGAUCUGAAACCUUUUGGCCUCUGGGAUCUUCCUGAGUGAAAGUUAGCGUGUGGUACAAAUCCAAAUCCGAGGAUAAGAGACGUAGCUGGGAACGGUGCUUCGAGAUGCUAAGUGAAUGACAUUUGGCAAUUGCUGCUUCUGGUGAUGCUGCCUGGUGAUAAUCCCCUUGGAUUUGAUGAUAAUCCCCUUGGAUUUUCGCACUUUCGGCUCCAACUGAAACUCAUGUGAGACACUAGCAUCCUUUGAAGACAGAGCUCGUAACUGUUCAGUGACGGUGUUUGGGCUUGAGCUUUUAUGGUCCCUUCUGGAGGGACACGCGUUGACAUCAUUUCAACCCUCAAGAAAGCACACGUUCAGAUGGCUUAAACAGUGUUUCCAGCCUGAAGACUCUGAGCAAGAGGCCACGCCCGCCCAUGUGGAGAGUAAGCCAUUCUGAGAGCAGCCACCUAAUGACAGAGUAUCCUGGUGUCAAUUCUGUGCGUAGGACUGUCAUUUUGAAUUCCUGUAGCGGUGGGAUGCUCGAUCAGAUGGUGAACAGAUUGACCUCCAUCAUCUCCUGCCUACACUCACCAAGCCUCUCUUUGCAGUUACAGGGCUCUCAUGUGACCUGAGGCCUGCACGCUGUGGAUCUGUCAGUUUCUUAAUUGUUUAUUAGUUUGCUUUUUUUUAGUCUUAGACAUUUUCAAGAAUAUUGUUUUGGGGGUGCUGUUCACCAGCUAGCCUUGGGACGAGGAGGUAAAAGAAGACAUUCUCUUCAAAGCUGGCGCCAAGACCAUGUUAGAACUGAUUUCUUCCUCUGCUCCUGUCUUGAUUUAAUCUACAGCUUCUCCGUGGCUUGAGCUGAGACGAUUACUCAUUUUAUUAGAGGACUUGCCUGGGGAACUUCUGGAAGGAUGGAUGACUCAGAGUUGCUGGUUAAUCUUGUCUGCCAGCAAGAGAGUUAUCUAAGCAGGCCGUAAGCUUCAUCUGGAACCGUCUAAUAACUGAGUCCAACCUAUGGCCCAGGGGGCUGUGUACCACCAAGGAUGGUUUUGAUGUAAUGUGGCCUGACAUAAACUCAUCCAUUUGCUUAAAAAAUUAUGAUUUGGAGCAAGUUUUUAUAGCCUGGUUAUAUACAGUUCCUUAAGUAUACUUGAAGGCAAUGAUGCCAUUUCACAAUAUUAAAAGUUUAAACACAUUUGGACCAGUUCCUAAUACCUUGAGAAGCAAACUUCCAGACUUGUGAGGAUGUUCUCCUACUCAGUUCCUCUAAUUAUAUUCUUCCUCUGUGUCCCCUACCUGUGACAACUCACCUAGGUCAGAAUCAAACCAGAAUAGGUUAUAAAGGCUCAGAGCCAGGGCAGUUGGAUUGCAUGAUGGCUCAGGGUAGCUCGCAAUGGCCCGUGGAUAUUUAGUUGAUACAGAGUUUAAUCUGGAGAGUGAAGCAGAGAAACUUGGGGAAUGUUUCUCUGCUAAUGAGCCGUACACAGAAAGAGGCAAACUACGCUGCUGUAUUUUGCCCAAAUUGUAUUCAUUUGCUAUCCCUGUCAUAACAAAGCUCAAACAGAUACAUCUAAAUUUACUCUUCCCUUCCCUCCGAGAUUGGAGGAGCUGCAAGGCUGAUAUCCUAAGCCCUGUCCUUGUCUUGCUGAAAGCUGUCCUCCAGAAGUUGUCUUCAGAUGGACCUCCCAAUAUAGUUAUCUCUGAUCUGUAUUCUUCCUCUUUAACCGAAACCUGUCGGAUUGAUUAGAAUCCAUUCCAUACCCCCGAUUUAACCUCAUCACAUCUUUAAAGGCCUUGCUCCACAUCCAGCCACAUUGUGAGGUGGGGGACCUACGGUAUCAGCCUACAAAUCCAAUGACACAUGAUCAACUCCAGAGCAACGAUGAAAGGUUGUUGGGAUUGGUUUAUCUGAAGGAAGAGAAUCCUUAAAUUUGUAGCUCGGUUGUUCUUAUAUGAAGGAUGAGAGUUGGCCAUGAGCUUUUAUCAAAAUCCACCUCCCUAGAGUCCCUUCGAGUGCUAGACCUCAGUGCUUUGAAAGACUUUCUGUAGGAACAAUGUGUGGUUGGACAGGAAAGGAGAAUGGAUUGAAUAGAUUCCAAAGCAAAACCCAGAGCUGUGAUUCCAUGAGAUCUGCUUGGACAUGACAGCAGUGUUUGACUUUUAGAAACUGAUGUGCGCAAAUAUUUACAUGAAAAUCUCUGAUGCGAUGGUUUUAUCUUUAGUGGGGCUGAUGAGGCAGAAUUUCAUAGUGUACACAGCUAAGGUCAGAGUGAAAAAAAAGCCACAUUCACAAGAGGGAGUAUCACCUUGAUGCCUUUCUACCAAGAUGAAGUUCCAGGAGGAUGGCCUGCUACCUCCCUGCCCGUGUCCACCUCUCUGCCACAGCAAACUGCCCUGUCCCAGCCUUUACGGUCCUGUUGAAUGCUACUCAAGUUAGAUUACAUAAUUGUGCUUUACCAUAACUUCCCUUUCACUAUCACAUCCAUCCAUGUAUGACGGAACAGGAUUGGGAUCAGAAGUCAAGAGCGCAAGGCUGAUUAACUUACUCUCCCACUGAUUGCUCUGGUGAGAGCGAACAGUCUUCAUUCUGUGGAUCUCAGUUUUCUUCCAUUCAAGACAUUUGACAUGCGUAAGACGGAAUGAUCCAUGGUGGUUAUGUACAUAGGGCUGAGCUGGACUAGAAGUCAAGGGCAUCUUUAAUGAGUUUUUGACCUUCAGUUCCUCUAAAGUGGGACAAUUAUGAGACUCUUGUGAAGUUGUAGUGGAGCCAGAGAUCAGAUGUUCCACUUGAGUAUGAAGUCAGGCCUUACCAUCGGUAACUCCACCCAGCUCCGACUUGCUUUCUAAAUUCACACCAUCUUGACUCUUUGAUUCUGGGUCACAAUUUGGUCUGAUUAGAUGAGUAACCGAUUUUCUGGGAAGGAUAGUAUGAGCAGUGACCCAGAUUCUGUUAUGUUUUACCAAAGCUGAGAAACCUGUGGCUUCGAGGAAAUCAUUCGCUUUGAUAUAAGUAUGUGAAUUUGGACAUUUCCCCUAAAUGCAUGGGUUAGAAACAAGACCCAGUGUAGCAGGGAUGAGAGGAAGGCCCCAUUGUGAUUGAGUUAUGAGGGUGGAAACCCUCUGAAGGGUCUAGUCGUUGUUGCAGGAAGGGGUCUGCUAUAGAGAGAGCAGGUGGCUUCAAAGUGCUGUCCCCCUCAUGUUCUCUUGCUGGACUCAUGUGUGCCUUUCCCUGUCAGCUCUCCUAUGACGUAAUAUGGCAGAUGCAUGCUCUUGGACUUGCCAGCCUCCAGAGUGGUGAGCUACCUCAGUAUAUUUGUGUGUGUGUGUGUGUGUGUGUGUGUGUGUAUGUGUGUGUGUGUGUUCAAUCUCAGCUGUCAUUCCUUAGAUGAUAUCCACUUUGUUUUCUCACUGGGGUCCAUUCAUUAGGUUAGGCUGGCUGACCAUCAGUUCCAUCCACAUAGCCACCUAUCCUCAUCACUCCAGUGUAGUAGGCACUGCCAUUCCCAGCUUCUUUACAUAAGCUCUGGAGAAGCAAACCCAGAUGCCCAUGCUUGUGCGGCAGGGACCUUAGCAGCUCAGCCAACUCACCUGCCCCGAAUGUCUCUUCUUCAUAAAGAAGCCAGUCUGUGGGACUCUGUUACAGCAACACAAAACAGACUGAGACAGCUGGCUUGGGCUGAGGGUGCCUCACACUCUCUGAAUGCCCGUGGGUCAUGUGAGCAAGGUCAUUGCAGUGGAGAAUAGGCUCAGGGGUCACCGCACCCUCAAACUGUCUCUGCCUCCAUUAGCUACAUUGGAGAAAAGAAGCGCCCAUGUUUUCCUCAGGUGAUGAACCAAGGAAACCAAAUACUUCAGAGAAAAGGAAGGGCAGAGCUAAAGCCACAACAAAGUAGGAGAAAGAAACCCAUAUAUUUCUUCCUAAGAACACAAGAUUAAAAAGAAAAAAAAAAGUAAAAAGAUGGCAUGCCUGUUCUCCCAGCUCUGGUUUCUUCGUAACAUUUGUCAGACAAGAAGACAUUGAAUGCUUCAUUAGACCAGGUCGGGCUCCGGGAGGGAAGGCUGUGCGCCUGCUUUACGAGAUCAACUGAAAAAUUCAAGAUCCAAACUCCAGCCAGAGUGAUCACAGCUCCACUGAACCCAUGUCGUUUCUUCCGGCUUUUGCUUCAGUUCAAAGGAAAAAUAAAAGAGAGGGGCUAGCCUUGUGUAUUCCAAGAAAGGAUAAUGAGAGAUAGACUUUUAGUAACCACACCCACACCAUACACACACCACACACGUACUCACACACACACUUGAACACUUGCACACAUCACACACACACUCACACACAUUCACACAUACACAUACACACUCACACACACAGCACACACACUCACACACACACACUCACAUACAUGCACACACUCACAUACAUGCACACACUCACUCACACACACAGCACACACACUCAUACACACACACUCACAUACAUGCACACACUCACAUACAUGCACACACUCACUCACACACACUCACACACUCACACUCACACACACACUCACACACACUCACACACACAUAUGCACACGGUGGCAGGAGGCACUUCUAAUGCAAGGCCAGCACUAGCAGCCAGAUAGGUUCCUGGGGCUUGUCGGUUUUGCCUUGAAUGUGAAAUGUUUCCUAUUGGCUUAUGUGUUUGAAAUGUUGGUCCUCAGCUGGUUGUGCUGUUCGGAGAGGCUACAGAUCUUGGGAGCCUGGCAGUAAGGACUCAGUAGGGUGGGUCUUGAACGUCAAAGGCUGAUCCAGCUCUGGUUCCUGCCUGACCACUCUGUUCUCUGAUUACACACACUCUCAGGCACCAUGUCUUUCCCGCCAUGAUAGACUGUACCUCCUCAGGCCUCAAACCAGAACAAAUCCUUCUUGUCUUCAUUUACUUCUCUCUGUCAGGCAUUUUGUCACAUCGGUGAGAAAAGUGGCCAACUCAGGGGUCACCUGUUAGAUUCCCACGGAAGCAGAUUUGAAUAAAGGACGCUCCUUAGGUUUUGUUCCCAAGUGACCUAAGAAUUAGAACCCAACAUGGCCAAUCCCUACCUUUGGAGGACUUGAAAUGUGGAGUCCAGAGUGCCAGAGAGAGAGAAAGAGAGCUAGACGUUGCAGAGAGGGCGCCACUGCUCAGAGCUGGAUCUCCAGGUCAGGUCAGCUGUUGGUAACUGUGGACUGGAACAAGUGAGAACAAUUUAACCAAAGAAAAAAGCAAGUCACAGUGUCUGAGCUUCAGCCGCUGUAUUUAUAACUAAAGCACAUUGGUGGUAGCAGGGGCUCCUGUCACUGGGAGGAUGGAACCUCGAGGAGGCAGAGGAUUCUUUAGCUCCCAUAUCUCUGGGUCUUGCUAGGGUUAGAGCACCUGUCUAAGCAGGCAAUGAGCUUAAGGGGCGAUGUGAGCAUCCUCAGACUCCAGAGAGAGACUAAGAGGCAUGGAAGGGAGAAGGUAAAGAAGCUAGGGGAAGGGCUUGCCUCCUUGUCUUCCUUUGCUAUGGGCUUUCUCCUCUCUGUUCUCUCUCUCUCUCUCUCUCUCUCUCUCUCUCUCUCUGUGUGUGUGCAUCUUUCUCUCUGUCUUUCCAUCUCUUUGUGUCUGUCUCUGUCCCUGUGUCUCUGUCUGUCUGUUCUCUCUCUCUCUUUCUUUCUCUCUCUCUGUGUCUCUCUCUGUGUCUGUGUCUGUCUCUGUCUCUGUCUCUCUCUCUCUCUCUCUCUCUCUCUCUCUCUCUCUCUCUCCUUCUCUCUCUCUCCUUCCCCUCUCUCUCAGAAGCUGACUUCCUUGCAUAAGGGUGUUUGGGUUAUAUAUUCACCAUGGUUAUCUGGAAGAACAUAAGCAAUAGACUCCGAAUGGGGAGAUUUGCUAGCUUGGCCCCUGCGGCUGGGAGUUAGCAUCUCAGUGCAUAGGCUCAUGACUUGGAAAAAGCACACGUUCGGUCCAAGGCCUCCCCCAUCUCUCCCAGAUAGGCAGUGAUAAUUGUCUGUAAGCUGGAGUGCCAAAGAUGGGGAUCUCAAUUGUUCUAAGAAGCUGUAAGCCUCAGAACAAGGAUUCCCAAUGAUGCAGCCCUAAUCUAAAAAGAAAGGUCAGGAUGCUAUCUGGAUCCAUGGAUGUGAGCCAGGUUGAGCGGUUAGAACUGUAUCCACGCAAUAGGUCACAGCGCCUGCAUUUACUUGGCAAAGGCGGGGCUUAUGUGCACCAACUGGCUUUCUCUUUCCCCACUUGCAUUUAUUUAACUCAGGCCUCUAAGCCCAUUGGACCAUGCUGCCCACAGUGAAGGCAGGCCAUUAUCUCCUCUCUCACACACCAGUCUUCUCUGCGAAUGCCCCCACAGACACACCCAGAAGAGUGUCUUAUUGAUUAAGACAUCUCUCGGUUCUCACAAAUUGGCCAUCAAGAUUAACCAUCAUAGGUGGCUGUAGCGAAGUGCUACAAAUGGAAAGCCUUAAAUAAUGUGGUUAUUUCUCAUUGUUCUAGAAAUUGGUGCACACAAAAGUGAAUUCAAGGACCCUUCUGGUUGGUGCUCACUUCCUCACAUGAUAUAAGAGGCAAGGAAGCUCUCUGGGGACCUCUUGUUUUAGGGGGGAUUAUAAUCCAAAGGCUCUGUAUUCCAACACACUACUCUUGGGAGAUAAGAUUUCACCACAGACUUGGGAGCUGGGCAAGGGGGAGUCCAAAGAUCCUUCAUCCCUUCCAGAUAACCAUGAUGGCGUCUCCUGAAAAUGUCACAGAGUUGAGAGCUUCAGAAGACAGAACAGGACAGCACUUCAUGCUGCUCACAUCAGGAGGGUCAGGAAUUAACACUUCAGAGAAGUAGGUGGUGGCCCUCUAUAGUCUUUCUGGCUUUUUUCUCCUGUCUUGGGGAUGUUGGUUUAUGGCACAAAGGCCUAGCUUUUCCUGUAUAAUUUUAUCCCACUUUGAACUUUUCAGGGCAGGAAUAGAAGCCAGAGGCAGAGGGCCAAAGGGGUGAAAUUGUACUCUGAAAUUGGGGCACUGAGUUCCUGCAUUGAAAGUCCUCAUGACUAUGGCCUCCUCAUUAAGAGAUUCUAAAGAGAGCCCUCCCUCUCAAUAGCUUUUCCAAGAAGCUGUUAGAAGGCAAAUUCUGGGUGGCAGGGUUUGUGACAAGUGGCUUUUGUGGAGGUCUCAGGGGAGACUCCUUAGAGGAAAUGUCCAAAUUGAGACACAACUCUGACUGUCAAACUGGUCCCGUCAGCAUCUCCCCUGUUUGUUGGUCUCCAGAGCUCUGAGUGCCCUGAGAUGGCCAGUGUACUAAAGCUGAUCAUCAAGAAACUCAGCAGCAUUAGCGUGCACUUAGAGCCAAGAGUCCUUACACACUAGACAAACACAAUCCUCUUCUUCAUCAGAGAAAAAUACCCCCUACGAGUCAUGCGACUUGGCCAAUGUCAGUCACAGUAGAGUCAAGAUGAAAACUAGGUCUCUUCAUCUUCUCUGCCCUUUUGCAGUUUUAAAGACCAGGAAUGGGGUUGGGGAGCCAGCUCAGUGAGACUCCCAGAACCUCAAAAAAUGAUAACAAUAAUAAUAACAAUGAUCAUGGUGGUGUAGUAAGACCAGAAGUAGACUCCUGAUGGAAAAAUGAAUUUUACCCAAAUUCAUAGAUAUUUGUAUGACCCAUUGGUUCACUGUACUGUGGUCUGGUUGGCACUGAAUAAAGCCUCAACUUCAAAAUAAUUGGAAACUGCUUUAACAACAUCAACUGAAAUGCAGUACGACCUUAUUCUCUACUCUUGGGAAUACUUUGUUCGCUCUUCCUCGACUACCUCUCUUUAUAUGGUCUGAUGUACUUCGGGGAAUUAUCAAAACGCUCCCUGUUACAUCACAGUCGCAGCAGCCCCCACAGGCCAGUGGGUUUGAACACUUGAUCUCCAGCUGGUGGAGGUAUUUUGAGAGGCUGUGAAACCCUUAGGAGGUAGGAUUUAGAUAUAGGAAGUGGGUCACUAAGGGGGUGGAGUGGUAACAGGCUUGACCCAGUAUAGUCCAGCCCUAGUUCCAUCCAGCUCUGGCCCAAGUCCUCUAAUUCUUGGUCCACAGUAGUCGUAGCUUCUCUGUGAGAAGUCAGGUUCACUGCAUUUCUGGGAUCAACCAUCACAAACCCUGAGCUCAAAUAACUCACCCUCCGUUACUCCGCCUCUUGUCAUGAAUUUUGUCUUAGUGGCAAGGAAUAUGGCUAACAGGACAACCACAAGGCUGUUAAUGGAGAUCAACACACUGUCUGAACAGUUGGGUUAAAAACCACCCUAGGAAUACAUUUAAUAUGUCCAGCAGUGGUGAUAUACACCUUUCAUUCCAGCAGUUGGGAGGCAGAGGCAGGUGGAUCUCUAUGAGUUUGAUGCAAUCCAGUCUACAGAGCAAGUUCUAAGACUGCCAAGGUUAUACAGAGAAGCCUUUUCUCCAAAAGGGGGGGGGAGGGAGGGAGGGAGGGAGGGAGGGAGGGAGGGAGAGAGAGAGAGAGAGAGAGAGAGAGAGAGAGAGAGAGAGAAGCGUAAAAGUAAAGACAAAAAAGAAAGAAUGCUUUUUACACUCCCAAUACACUUGUGUUCAUCUACACUGCUAAGGCUGUGUCAUGGAAACACUCCUCUAAAUACCUCAGGUGUAUUUCUACUGUUAGUCUUGAUUUGGGGGGACUGAGAUGCUCAGGAGGAACUAGAUGGCCUUGUGGAGACAAAAUGGAAGAGACUGUCAUGAGCCAGGAGCUAGAGUUAGGAGCUGAGCUUCGAAGGUUUGACCAGGACAGGAGAAAACUUAACCAGAGACAUUCUAGAACAGACCUUCUAGAAUGUUCUGAGACAUUGGAAAGGAAGCAAAAUUAACCUGAAAAUUAAAAUUCCAUUUCUAAGCCCAGGAGCAAAGACAAGACCUAAUUCAGGAUUCAUGUGGAAACUCGAGGGGCCUGAGAGAGGAAACAUCCAGUAGCCCCUGAGAACAGCACUGCUGUGCCUUGACCUGCUUGCCUGGCCGAUCCAUCUAGGAUCCAUGCUACUUGGCAUGGACUUGAGCUGGACAGUAUCCUGUUGACACAAAUGUGUUACCUCUCAUGUUUAUAAAACGUGAUCCUCUUUGGUCCUUUUUUCUCCAAGUCCUCCUUGGUUGAGGUUUGGAACUUGUCUUUCCAACCAUAGAAAAAGAUGUUAGGAAUCCCAGUUCCCAGUUCCCUGACCUGGUUCACUGAAGUCACACCAUGCUGACGAUGCAGCUUUCCAGAGCACUGGCCAUGCCUUCCUUUCUCCCUUCUCCACACUUUCAAGUCUUCCACAGCCUCUCUGCCCUCAGAGUGAACCACACCUCUUUCAAGGCAAAAUAAUGGAGUGGAGAGGAAUGUGUGACGUGGAAUUCCAAGCUAUGUAUGAAGUGUAGAUUGCUACUGCGUGGCCUGAAGGGAGUGACCUGUCUUUCUGUACUCCAGAGUGCUUACAGUUUUUGAUCUGUAAAAUUAACUCCUACAGACCAGCCUUACUGUCCACCUGUAUGAAGUUAUAAUAGUCAUAAUCAGCAGACAGACAGACAGACAGACAGAAGGGCAGACCUCUAAGUUCCCCUCCAGAAACCUACAGGUUUCUUACUACCUUUAAAGCUAGUAAGAACUCAAAGGUAUUUUUGUUUGUUUUUCUGGCUGUCUUAGGACUCACUAUGGAGACCAGGCUGGCCUUGAACUAACAAAUAUCUACCUUGCCCUGCGGCCUGAGUGCUGACAUUAAAGGCAUGUGCCACCAUGCCUACCUCAAAGGUAUUUAUAGAAUGUCUGGAUCAUCAUAGUUUCUCUAUGACAUAGUCAAAAUCUUUAGGCCCAUGAACUUCAUUAAAGGAGCAAAGUCUCCCUCUCAAUUCUUUCCAAAGUGACCGGAUCCCUGAUAAAAGCAGGGGUUAAGGCACAGUCCCAUGUAUAGGGAUUUUUAGACUACCAUGGUUCUUGCCUUGCCUUCAUAGAGAAUCUUGGCCUGGAAAAGUCUAUGAAAAGCUUAAAGUUCACCUCUCCUAAGCUGUUUUAACUUGAAAAUGCAAUCAGAAUUAAUAAGAGAGAGAGAGAGAGAGAGAGAGAGAGAGAGAGAGAGAGAGAGAGAGUCAUAUUACCAGCUUGUGGGAAUUUCUAUGCCCACAAUAAAGUUAAUAUUUUAUUUGAAGAGCAAUUUUGUGGAAAAUGAUAGGAAAUAAGUGUUAUUGCUUAAAAACGAAGGUUGAAUCUUUGAGCAGAGAUGAACAGAAAAGGGGGCAUCUGUAGCCCAGCGAACUGACAUUUAUUUUAUGCAUCUUCUAAGGUUACAGAAUCACUUAUUUUACCAUCCCAAGGCAGCCCAGAUUCUUAAAAUGCAACAGUAUAGUUUCAAAUAUUAAGGUGUCUUUUGGGGUAUCUGUAAAUUAAAUUGAUUCAUGUGUUAACUUCAAACAUUUCAGAGACAGUGGAAUUCAAGCCCCUUUAUGAAGACUAAGCUCUAAGUCUCCCGGCAUGAUUGACCACCUAAAGGGAAAGCAACCAGCCAAAGUCACGUGAUAUGGCUUCAAAGGGUCAUGCCUUGAAAUUUCCACGAUGUUUAUGGAAAUUAGUAACACUCAAUCAUCCCAAGAAACUGAGAGAGAAAAAAAUGAUCUGUCUUUCAGAAAACUGCAAAGCUGAAACAUGGCAAAAGAUAGGUGGAGGUGUUGGGAUGGGGUGUCUUGAUUGGCUUAGAUACAGAUCCCUUUACUUCUCCCACUCUUUGACAAGGACACAAGAGAUAAUGGUUUAAAACAAGUGACCCUCCCUCCAUCCUGGGGAGGCAUGAACACACUAUUCACCCCAGAUAGGGAACCCCAAAGGAAGACCUGAAUGGAACCACUAGGUAACAAUACCCUAAUGUUCAUCUUGAUAAAGUUUAUUGGAAUUACAAGAGUAAGAAUGAGGAGUAACUCUCAGGUGUAUGGAUGACGGAAAGACACCUGCAUGACUGAAAGCCUACCCCAACAUGGAUGAAAACUAGCAAAAACUGGAACUCUGAAGCUCUCUGCAGGACUUGAAGAUAGAUCUUCAGGUUGGAGAAUCUUUAGCAGCUUAUAUACUUUGAAGAUGGAGGGGCUUUGUGUACUGUGUCAGUUUCAGGGGCUUCCUGAGACUUGUGAGUUAUCUAUUCCCUAAGAAUUUCCUGUGUCUUAUUUUCCUAUUAAUUGGUUAUUUCAUUUAUUUACAUUUCAAAUGUUGUCUUCCUUCCCAGUCUCCCCUCUGGAAACCCCUCUCCCCUUUGCCUCUAACACCCACCCACCCCCACCUCACACUGUGGCAUCCCCCUAUGCUGGGGCAACAAGCCUCCACAGGACCAAGGGCCUCUCUCCCAAUGAUGCCAGGUAAGGCAAUCCUCUACACAUGUAGCUAGAGCCAUGGACCCAUCCAUGUUUACUCUUUGGUUGGUGGUUUAGUCCCUGGGGGUUCUGGGUGAUCCCGUUAGUUGAUAUUGUUCUUCCUAUGAGGUUGCAAUCCUCUUCAGCUCCUUCAGUCUUUCCCCUAACUCUUCCAUUUGGUCCCUGGACUUGGUCUGAUGGUUGGCUGUGAGUAUUUGCAUCUGCCCUCGUCCGAUGCUGGAGGAGCCUCUCAGACAACAGCUGUACUAGGCUCCUGUCUGUGAACACUUCUUGGCAUCAGCAAUGGUGUCUGAGUUUGGUGUCUACAGAUGGGAUGGGACAGUCUCUGGAUGGCCUUUCCUUCAGUCUCUGCUUCAUUUUUUGUCCCUGCAUUUCCUUUAGAUGGGAACAAUUCUGGGUUAAAAAUUUUGAGAUGGGUGCACAGCCCCAUCCCUCAACUGGGGGCCAUGUUUAUCUACUGGGGUUGGUCUCUUCAGGUUCUAUCUCCCUUCUAUUGGGUAUUCCAGCUAAUAUCAUCCUUGCUGUGUCCUGAGAAUCUCUUUCUUCCCUGUCAUCUAGGACUUUCUAGUGGUUUCCCCAUUCCCCACCCCACUGCUAUAUAUUUCUAUUCAUUUUCCUGAUCCUCUGGACUUCUCUCCUGUCUCUUCUUUUACCUGAUUCUGCCACUUCUUUUUUUCCCCUUCCCCUCAUCUCUCCCUCUCAGGUACCUCCCUCCCUCUACCUCCUGUGAUUAUUUUGUUCCCCCUUCUAAGGAGGAUUGAAGAAUCCACAUUUGGUUUUCCUUCUUGUUAUGCUUCAUGUGGUCCAUGAGUGUAUCGGGGGUAUUCUGAACUUUGGGGCUAACAUCCACUUAUCAGUGAGUACAUACCAUGUAUGUCCUUUUGGGUCUGGGUUACCUGACAUAUGAUGAUAUUUUCUAGUUCCAUCCAUUUGCCUACAAAAUUCAUGAAGUCAUUGUUUUUAUUAGCUGAGUAUUACUCUGCUGUGUAAAUGUACCACAUUUUCUGUAUCCAUUCUUCCGUUGAGGGACAUCUGGGUUGCUUUCAACUUCUGGCUAUUAUAAAUAAGGCUGCUAUGAACAUGGUGGAGCAUGUGUCCUUGAUAUGUGUUGGAGCAUCUUUUGGGUAUAUGCCCAGUAGUAGUAUAUAGCUGGGUCUUCAGGUAGUACUAUGUCCAAUUCUCUGAGGAACCAUCAGAUUGUUUUCCAAAGUGAUUGUACCAGCUUGCAAUCCCACCAGCAAUGGAGGAGUGUUCCAAUCUUACAUCCAAUAGAGGGCUAAUAUCCAAAAUAUACAAAGAACUCAAGAAGUUGGACUCCUGAUAACAAAAUAACUCUAUUAAAAUGGGGUACAGAGCUAAACAAAGAAUUCUCAGUUGAGGAAUAUCAAAUGGCUGAGCAGCACCUAAAGAAAUGUUCAACAUCUUUAGUCAUAAGGGAAAUGCAAAUCAAAACAACUCUGAGAUUCCAGCUCACACCAGCCAGCAUGGCCAAGAUCAAAACCUCUGGUGACAGUCGAUGCUGGGGAGGGUGUGGAGAAUUUCCUGAGUCCUAAGAGGCUCCCUUUAGAGCAUCCUGAGUCUUAAUAAGCUUCUCUCCAAGAUGGACUGUUUCACCUCUGAAGGAAAUGGUUAUGCAGUGCAUAUCUUCCCUUAAGUUACUCAGCCUCCUUUGAACUUGGGCUAAGCAAGUCACUAUUCCUCUCAGUGGUUACAAGAAAUUAUGUAUCACUUUCUAGCUGAGGAAGUUGAGAACUAGCAUGGCCUGUUCAGCCAUGCUCGCCUGUGAUGUAGCUUCCAGAUGGGGUAAGGCUACCUGAACUGCACCAGGCUUUGCAUGAUAAAAUAUACAUACAUACAUACAUACAUACAUACAUACAUACAUACAUACAUACACAUAUAUAUAUUAUAUAUAUUUAUUUGAUUAUUGAGAUUUUAGGAUUUAUUUGUUGUUGCUAUAGAGCUUUUCUUAACCUGAUCAAUGUAGUAAAUUUCUUUCUGACCAUCUUACCAAAUAGUAAAGGAGCUUUUUCACCAUUAAAUCUAGUUGCUAACUUAAAAUAAUUAUAAAUGUAAGAUAAUUAUUAUAAAAGUUGUACUGAUAAAGCCUUAUGGAUUUCACUAAAGUUGUCACUCUGCGUUAUAUAGCAUUGUCUGCGUUUUAUAACUUUUAAUAGCUUUAUGAGUCAAAACGUACUUGAGUACAGUUUUCCAAGUGCAGACCAUCCUGAAGAAUGUCAGGAAGUUAACUCACAGCCUUCCUGUUUGGCUCUCUUUUGGUAUGGAAGCUAGUCGUUAGAUUAGAGCACAGUUUCACGUAAUGUUGUUGGAAACCCGAGCAUUGGGAGGUGUUGAUGCUAAAGAGGAAGAGGAAAGCGAUCAAAGAACAUAGCUACACCCUAACACUGGUCUAAGAGCAUCUCACUGGAUGAUCAGAAAGCAAUAAUAGGUCCCAGGGUAAAUGUGCAGCAGGUAAAAUCUGACUACUUCCAGAUGGCUCAGCGCAGGGACUAGGGCUAGGAGGGUAAACUUUCUCCCUCGAGUACAUGGUUAAUGAGAGAACUAGGGACUUUUCAGAUCACAGACCAUUGUGGUAGAGAAGAUGCUGGCUUCACAGAAUAGCCUUUUCUUAAUCUCAGCCUCUCUGCUCUACGUGACUGUAAGAUAUUGGACGGGCAUCUUUAGGUGGCUAAGCCCGAGGCGAUUUGUCAGAACAGCAAUGAGAAAGGAAUGCGACCCUGCAAGACUUGAAGGCUUUCUGCAGAGCAGUCAGUUCUGAAUACAACCAGCCUCUGAGGGUGACAUUUCACGCAUAUUCUUUCUUGACUCUGGCUAGAAGUGUGUGCAGCUAGGAUCAAGGACAACAUCACGUGCCUUCUUCAAUCGCCUUCUACCUUCUCUUUUGAGACGAGGUUUCUCAUGGAACCUGGAACUUAAGUUCCUGAAAUACUCUGCUCCCUGCUUCCCUAGAGCCGGGAUUAGAGGUGUGCAUCCCCGUGCCCUGCCUUUUCACAAACAUUCUGGGGAGUUUAAGUCAAACCUUUGGGCAGGGCAAGCACUUUACCUACCAAGCCAUCUCCAUGGCCUUACAGCGGCAUGAUUUGAUACUGUAUAUAUUCUUACCUUUAUGCCUUUAUUACUAGCCCCCACCCCAGGGCUGUAUUAGCAUAAUUUACAGCGCCUCACAUAAUCAUUUAAACAGACGAAUGGGAAUAUUUCUAGGGUUCUUCAUUCUUGCCCUUCAAUUAUUUUACCCAAAUCUCAGGAGGUUUCCUCACUGGCAAUUUGGUGGCACUUAUUCCAAAGGCAUGUGCUUAGGAGACAACUGUCACAAGUACCCAAUUCAAAUAUGGCAAUAUUUUUAAUGCAAUUGAAAUAUGAUUAUAGGGCAAGGCCACAAGAAAUAGGUAGAAACUGAAAAGAACCACCUCAGCUCCCUGGAUGGUUUAAUACCACAGGAAGUGCUGUGCUGUUGGCUUGACUGGAGCAGAGCAUUGUCUCUGUCCCACGUAAGUUUUGUGCUUCCGUGGGCCGUUGUAUAGCUUUUGUAAUGUUUCCAGUACACCAAGAAGCAGCCAUUUGCUUCCUCAUGGAACCAGGGGUUCAGUGGGCAAUGAGACACUUAGAAGCCUUCGCUGGAGCCCCUGGUGAGUAGCCUGCUCUCGCGGAACCACGGCUGCUUCCCCACCACAUUUCUUUGUAUGACGAUGAGUGAAAAGUAAGUGAAUUGAGACAUCCUUGUAGCAUAUCAUAUCUUCUGGGCUUAGGUCUCUGUAGAAGCAACUAGACCUAAGACUGGAGUAAUAUGGAUGGAGUGUCCAAGGUGCUCAUGGCUUAGGCUAGAUACAUCAGCAGAAAGAAGUCACAUUCAGUGUGAUCUGCCGAAAAAGGCCUGUAUUGUUGGGAGAUGCUGUCCUUUGCCAAAAGACAUUGCAAUUGAGAAGAGUCAUUUGUUUCUGGCUGCUCACCUAUACUCUGAGCUGAGGGUUCUAUUUCAGACAUGAACCCAACAUCUCAAAUAAAUGUAUGGCUAAGUCAAUAAUAUAAAGUUAAGUAGAUGGGUGAUAGACAUCCAUGCACAAAUAUAUACUAAAUAUAUAAUAACUACUUUCCCCCCGUUUUUACUUGAAAAGUAAUGAACUGUUACCUACUGAUCAUUUUUCUGAGCUUGCUUCAUGGACACAACAUAGCAUGGUUGAAAUAAUUGUUGCUUAAAAAUUAUAAAACAGAUUCGUAGCCCAUGAAUAUUCAUGCCAGAGUAGAGCAAGAUAAAAAUUCCAGGUUUUCUUCAUUUAACAUCAGGCUGAAUUCCAACAUGUGUGAACUAGUUACACAAAAAUUCUCUUUGCAUAACUGCAGCUAGUAAUUCGAUAUCUAGGCCAGGUCACCAGGCCUAUUAAGUUAUAGGUUAAAUGUGAUUCAGAGUUAGUAAACAAAGGAUCCAGAAUUCAAACCUAAGCAUCAGAAAAUCCGAAUUUAUUUAAUUAUACUAAUGUGAAGUUAAUGUAUGAACAUUAAAUCAAGAGUUAUUUCUAGCUUAAAAUGGGUUAUUAACCUUAGUGAAUUCCUAGUUGGCUGAAUUGCAGAUGGCAGGGGACGGCGGGGAGAGCCACAGAGUGUCAUCCAUUCUUGAUAUAAAAUGCAUACUCUGGCAAAGCCGGAUGCUCAUACAGCUAUUAAUAAGAGAAAAACAUUAGCACUGGACAUGUCUGUGUAUAAACUGUGAUGCCUUUAUUUUCUUAAUUGACAAUAAACAAGUUAAUUCUGGCAAUCUGGUUUCUUUGUUGUUAAAAUGGGCAAAAUUGAUAACUUAUUUAUUAAUUAUUAUUAAUAAUAAUUCUUUUCAGAGGAUACUAUAGAAAUUAAGUGUAAAGAUACAUCUUUGAAGUGCAUCUGUGUGCAUGCAUGUGAUAUAUGGAUGUGUACAUGUUUGUGUAUGUGUAUCCGUGUAUGCGUGUGUAUGCAUGUAUUCAUGCAUGUAGAGACAGGUUUGGCAUCAGGUAUCUUUCUCUAUCAAAGCUCACCAUUUAUUUUUUAUUUAUUUAUUUUUUGAGACAAGUACUCUUGACUAAGCUGAAGUUUGCAGAUUCAUCAAGAUUACUUAGCCAGUGGGCUCCAGAGUUUCACAUACCUCCUCUGCCCCAGUUCUCUGGUUGUGGGUUCUUGUCACUGGACCCAGCUUUCCUUCCUCCCUCCCUCCCUUUUUCUUUCUUUGUUCUUUCUUUCAUUUUUUUCUUUCCCUCUCUUUUUUCUUUCUUUCUUUCUUUCUUUCUUUCUUUCUUUCUUCCUUCCUUCCUGUCUGUCUUUCUUUUUUGCUUUCUUUCUCUCUGUCUGUCUGUCUUCCUGUCUUUCUUUCCACAGGUACCAGGGCUCUAGAUUCAAGUCCUGACGCUUACAUGGCAAGUGCUUUCCGGGGCAUGCCAUCUUCCCAGCCUCAUGCCUACAGUUUUUCUUGCUCCUGUGCUCUGUCUUUUCAACUUCCAGCCGUGUUCACAGGAACUGACAUAGAGAACACAUUGCAGCUUCACUGUCUGGACAGACAUGGGUAGACAAAAUAAGCCUGCUGUCGAAAUAGAAGCACUGCAUAUCUUCACACAUGUGGAAAUGCUAAUCGCCUUGAAUUGGCUGUUAUUAAUUAUAGAUAUAAUUAAGUUAUUGUACUAGACUCUAUGAGGAUGCAUAUAUACUGCAUAUCAAUUAAUAUAAAAUAAUAAGUCAAGGACUGUGCCGUAUGCCUGUAAUCCCAACACCUGAGAGUCUACGAUGUGAUGCUCACGAAUUUGAGGCCAGCCUGGCCUACACAGUGAAUUUCAAAGUAGUCUGGAGUUCAGAACAAGAUCCUGCCUCAAAAAACAAAAAAAAAAAAAACAAAAAAAAAACAACAACAACAACAAAAAAAAAAACCAAAAAAACCCAAAAAACAAAAAACCCACCUAAAUUAGAGGGCUAGAGAGUUGGUGCAGUGGUUAAGAGAGUGGAUUGCCCUUGCAGAGAUCCCAAGGUUGGUUCCUGUUGCCCAGGUCUGGUUGAUCCCAAUCUCCUGCAGCUCCAGCAUUCCAUCUCUAGGUGAUCUGAUGCCCUUUUCUGGCCUCCAAGGGUACCUGCACGGAUGAGCACACACCCAUACACACACACACACACACACACACACACACACACACACACACACACAUUGAAAAUAAAAAUCUCAAUAAAACCCAAAUUAAGGUCCGAGAGAUCUCUGACUGGAUAGAGUACUUGUUGCGUUAAGAGGAGGACUAGAAUCCCCAUGGCCAGUGUAAAACCAGGCGAGAGUGACAGCGGCCUACAAUCUCAGCUCUUGGUAGAGACCAGGGAUCCCUGGGGCAAACUGGUUGACUAGACUAGCUGAACCUGGUAAACUCCAGGUUUAGCCACAGACAUAAUUUUUUUUAAAUUUUAUUUAUUUAUUCAAUAAAUAAAAUGAAUUAAAGUUAAGGAAGACACAGGAUAUCAACUUUGAGCCUUCGCAUGUAUGUACACAUGCACCAACAUACAAACACGCAUAUGUACAGGCACAUACAUUAAGUGGACAUAUGCAGAAAAGUCCAUAAUUAAAUGAUUAAUUAGUAAUAAAUCACUAAAAGUCAUUUUUAAUGUCAGGUUCUUGUACCUCAAGUUAACACCCCUUCCUCAGCUAAGUCGUGGAUUUUAUUUUUAGAAUUCUAAUUGAUGGCGAUAUCAUUGUGUGCUUUUGUUCAGCUAACUGAAUCUGCCUGCCUGCCCCAGGCACUGGAAUAAAAAGAGUCUCGUCAAUAUGCAGGCCCUAGGAAGGCUCCAACUCACAUGCUCCCUAGGAAUUCCAAACACAAAAUUUUGUUCUUGAUUAUCCAUUGACACAGUGUGGGAAUUCAUAUGUAUGCUUCUGUGAUGAUAUCAAUCAUAUAUUAACUUCAAAAUGCAUUUUAUACACAUCUACUUAGCCUCAAAUUCCUGAUGUUCCCCAGAGAGUAGUAAAAGGAUAUAAUUUAUAAUAGUGUAAUUAACUUUUGACUAUAUUUGCAAUUACAUUUCUUGAAGUCUCUUCACAAUGAAAAAAAAUGAAGGUGGUUAAAUGAAUGUGUACUCUGAAGUUUGAAAAUAUGAAUUUUUCUGCCUUCAUUUAUUUUUUCUUUCAUGAAUAUAUUGGAUUUAUAUCAUUAAUCUCUGGAGAAGCAUUUUUCACACAGAUUUUUCUGCUCUAUGCUCUUCUGAGUAUUAGCACACGUGCAGAACACAGCACACUCCAGGAGCUCCUAGCAUCAAAUGAAACAGAAAUAAGAUUCUUUCAUUUGACGGUUCAAUUAUAUUUUACCAAAAAUGAUUACUAAUAAUCUUCGGGCUCCUUUCCAAGUUAUUUCUGACUUUGGCAAAAAGUCCUUGAGGGAUAAACAGUGACUCUCAGUUAGGGACUGUUUCAUCCUCUCCUCUUCCCCAACCCAGAAUAUUUUUUGUUAUCUGGAGAGAUUCGGGGUCAUCAAAAUUCACAGGAGUGAUUGCGACUCACCCAUAGUCAACAAAGAUCAAGGACAUCUCUCAGCAUCUCUCAGAGGGCAAGCGAGAUGACUCAGUUGGCAAAGGUAUGACCCUGCAAUCAUCAGGACCUGUGUCUGAUCUCUAGGACCCCUCUCCACACACAAAGACAGCUACAGAGAUAUACACCUGUAAUGCCAGCACUGGGACAGUAGACAGGUAGAGACAUUCCUGGGACCACUGGCUAGGCAUCAAGAGACCUUGUGUCAAAAGUAGAUGGCAUUUGAAGUACAAUAGAGGCUUUCCUCCACAUGAAACACACACACAUACACGGACAUGUACAUACACGAAUGCACACACACACACACACACACACACACACACACACACACACACACACACCACAAAUCCUAAAUACACAGAGUAACUCUCCUAGACAAAAACUUCACUGGUCCAGCAUGUCCGUGCGUCAAGGUUGAGACACCCAUUCAAAGUCUGUAGCAAGUCCCACUGACUGGCUGCAGAUACAUACACGAUUUUGUGGCUAUUUAAGAUUAUUUUCUUCCAAGGUUUGACUUGUUUGCUGUAGAUGGUGGGUGGGGCUGCUGGGUAAGAUCCUGGCUUGUCCGUAUAAUUCUGUAUUUUUGAGUAAAUUAGCAUCUAGUUCUAUCUACUCCUCUCCCAACCCAAGAUGCCGCUGCUGUGCUGGGUGACACUUGAUCCUUCAUCCUCAGUGACUACAAAGUAUAAGGUCCAUUAUUCAUCAUGAGUGCAUAAGUUCAGAUACCUGGAACCCAAAUAAAAAACCACAUGUGCACUGUCCUUAUAAAGGCUCCCUGAGAUACACAGACCAAAUCCAAAUCUGUGAGUUCCAGGUUCAAUGAGAGGCCCUACUAGAUAAUUAAGGAAGAUGCCUUACGACUGAUAUGGGCAUAUACCUACAUUAACACAUCCAUAUAACAAAUUCACAUAUGUGUAUAUGUGCACUCAUACACACGCACACACACACACACACACACACACACACACACACACACACACUGCUCUAGAAGUAAUGGGUUUUCUCAGUAUAGCACAAAUCCCAGGGCAUUUGCCAAAUCUCUAUAGAGACCUCCAGGGUAAGAAACCAAACCAAGCAAGAACUUUCUCGCAUACGGGCAAGAAUAACACACUCUUCAUCUUAAUUGGGUUUUUUUUUUUAAACUAAGAGCACUGAAAGAGAGGGUUUAAAAAUAAUCACGAUAAUGAAAAGGAACACAUUUUGUUAUAAUUAUGUUGCCCUUUGAAACUCUAAAAUCAAGGCAGCGCGGGGUUCUUAUUAUAUGAAACUGUGUGUCAGGGAUAUAAAGAAUCUCGUGUCGAUUAUUUCUCCUGGCUCUUGCCACAGCUCAGAAGGAGCCUACUGAUUUUGAUCUGUUUUAGAGAUGAAGACGUUGAUGGCCUGGAGACAUUAAAUGCCUCACCCAAAGGCUAAGUAUGAUCAGGGACUGGAGUCAAGCACGGCCGAUUCAGUUCUGAGUUCUUUAUCAAGUGCUUGCUCUACCACCAUGGAUUAGGGCUACAUGGGGUCAGGAACAACCAUCUCUAUCUGAUCCCAUAAAGCAAACCUACAUUGACUUCCUUCAUUGGGCUGAUGCCUUUGUCUUUCCCAACACGUGCGCAUAUGGUUUCUUCUGUUCGUAAACUUGACAUCCACACUUGACACUCCACGGUAUCAAUGCCAAUGUCCAGUCAGCGUCUCUGACCUAGAAACUUCAGAUCUUGUUCUGAGUCUCCCUGAGAUUUACUGUUGUUUUAGUCAGGGUUUCUAUUCCUGCACAAACUUCAUGAUUAAGCAGCAAGUUGGGAGGAAAGGGUUUAUUCAGCUUACACUUUCCACAUUGCUAUUCAUCACCAAAGGAAGUCAGGACUGGAACUCACCCAGGGCAGGAAGCAGGAGCUGAUGCAGAGGCCAUGGAGGGGUGCUGCUUACUGGCUUGCUUCCCCUGGCUUGCUCAGCUUGCCCAGACUACCAGCCCAGGGAUAGUACCAUCUUCAAAAGGCCCUCUCCCCUUGAUCACUAAUUAAGAAACUGCCUUAACUGGAUCUCAUGGAGGCAUUUCCUCAAGCGAGGCUCCUUUCUCUGUGAUAACUCCAGCUCGUGUCAGGUUGGCACAGAACACCAGCCAGGACACUUGUGGCUCUCUUUCAAAUCAGGGAUCUGAUUUCACAGAUUGAACUUGUAGUAACUCCGACAUUUCCUAAGGUCUCCAAGUGGGUGGGGCAGCUGAAAGACCAUGACACGAUAGACACUUGAAAACUCCUACACUUGAGCUUAGUCCACAUCAUGAUCUUUAUUACAAAAUUAACAUUUAUUCCUUGUGUGUGUGUGUUUGCAUGUGUAGGUACACAUGUGUAUGGGCAUGUGCGUCUGGGGACUGGUGCAUGUGUACAUGAUGCAUAUGCACAUACAUGUGGAAACUGAAGGACAACAUUGGGCAUCUUGUAUUUUGAGACUGGGCUUCUCACAGGCCUGGAAUUCGCCAAAGAAGCUAGGCUGUGUGGCCAGUGAGCUUGUCCUUUUAUGACAAAGAUUACAAGUAUGUGCUACCAUUAAAAAGUUAUCUAUCCCAUGUGUGCAUUUACGAAUGUGCACAUGUGGAGGUCAGAGGACAAUAUGUGGGAGUUGGUUCUCUCCUCCCACCAUGUUGGUUUUGGGAGUCAAACUUGGGUCAUCAGGAUUGAUAGUAAAUACCUUCACCAUCUACUAACCCAUCAGAUCAACCCCAUACCCAGCUUUUUAAAGAUGGCGGUUCUGCAGUCUGACCCUGCUUGCAGUGAAAGAAAGCACUUCACCAACGGAUCUAUUUUCCCAUUCCUAGAAAAAUGUCGUUUGAACCUAGCUUAGCGUCUAAACUCUCACCCUACGUCGAGCCAUGCAUGGUUGGGUUAUUUUACCUCUGAGGCUCAAAGUGACAUUCCACUAAAGGACACCUGCUCAGCUUCAGGGACCAAGUGGCCACAGAAAGGGACUGCCAGGAACGUUCCCAGGCUGCAAUUGGCAAACUCGUCUUCCAGCACUUGGGACGGUACCAGUGGUUCACAGUAGUAAAUGAUCAUUUACUUCGUGAGUUACUUCAUGUGGCAGAUGAAAGAAAAAUGAAGUGAAAAGGAAUAUGGGAUUGCGGUAUUUAUUUAAAUCCUCUGUAGAAUCCCUGAUACUCAGGUAAAAAAGGCAUCGAAACCAAUUAAAAGUGAAACCACGUUAUUUCUUUUAUAGUAGGUUGAUACUAGUACAUGGUAUAAUCUUUGAAAUAUGAAAGGUGAUAAUUACAUAUCUUCUGAUUGAAUUAAUUUAUUGUUUUGGAUAAGGGGGUCGUGCACUAUGGUCCGGUUAUCCAUAAUUGAUAACAUGUGGACUUUAAAAAGUAAUGAUUAUUUCAGAGGGAAAUUAAUCAGUGAUGACUCAGAACACUCAGCCGGCCUAUUUCCUCCCCGCUUCAGGGAUUCUGAUAUCCAUGUGAAGCUACAAUCAAAGGAAAGGCAGAGUUAUGCAGCGCCAUGGCCGGUACUCUGCUCUGCAGAGGGGGAAGGGCUGAGAUGCGCCCAGGGAUUCCGGGCAGUUGCUUCAUCUCUGUUCCCUUGCUCCGUCUUUGAACUGGGCAUAAUAAUAAUUACCAGCUUCACAGGAGGACCGAGUGGAUUAAUGAGCUAAUCUCGUAAAGCGCUUGGCAGGUGAGACGUUCUUGAGCGAUGUGAUGAUCGCGCUCAUUAGUUUUCCUUGACACUCGGGGACUGAGUCCAAGCGAGGAGACGUGUGAUUAACGCCACUGCUCUCCGUGGGGAGCACGGCGCAUGCUCACAGGAGGGAAGGGCCCAGGACUUCUGCAGCCGUUGCUUUCUUUGAUAACCUUUGAAUGUGGGCUCCCCACCUCCGCACACCUCCCAGAUGUCUUCCUCUCAGUCGCCCUCACUGACAGUGGAGCAGAAUCUCUGAAUCUGGGAUCCUACUGGGUAACAAAUACCCCACUAGGCAUCUUCCUGAGCCAACAGAAUUGAGUCAGACCCGAACUCAGGUCUCUGUCUCCUUUGAUGCCACCAUGGAGAAGUAGCACACGAGGUCCUUUCCAUAGCCCGCUUGCUGUGAAACCGUAUUUCCAACUAGGCGAAGACCCUCAGGAGAGGGACAGCUGUGCUGGCUUAUUUACAGGUACACACCCCAGCUCCCACGCCUACCCUGACAGACACAAUGAGAGCUAAGCUGUGUUGGUUUAAAGGCUUGACCUCCCAACGUCUCUGAUAAAUCGGCAAGCUAUUCAGUGCCCAUUCUUGUUUGAUUUACUUGAGAAAGGAAUGGUCCCACUAAGACAGUCAGGCCUUCUCACCACAAUGCAGGCUUCACCCAAGGCUCUAAUCAACUGGCACCAUACCUCAACCGCUCUCCCUACCUCCCCAAAGGCCACCUCGAGGUUUGAGAUGCUCUGCCUGGUUUUUGUUUUGUUUUGUUUUUUUUCAAUCCCUAAACUUACCUCAAACUCUUCGAAAAAGCAAAGAGUCUCGUUUCAAACUCCCCCAACUCCUCAUCCUCCAGGAUGCUUUGUGCGCCUUUAAGUUAGGAGACUGAGAUGAGGGGAAUGUGGUCUGAGGAAGGGCACUUAGUUCCUGCCUCUGCCUUACCCCUGUCCACCAUCCUCAACAACCACACAUCGCACCAAGCUCUGAGUCUUUUUUGUUAUUUUUUUUUGUUUUAUUUUGUUUUUGUACAUAAAGGUGUAUGUUUUAAAAUUUCAUUUGUUUACUAAUGUUUUCGUAUGAGAACACAUGUUCUACGCUGCAUGCCUAUGUGGAGGUCAGAGGCCAGUGUUUGGAAACACAUUCUCACUUUCCAUCAUGUGGGUCCUGGGGAUCAAGGUCUGGUUGUGAGGCUUGGUGGCACGUUCCUUUAGAGGCCGAGCUAUAAGCACUGAAUUUUGUGUCACAUAUAACAACCUCAUAAAUAUGUAUAUAUAUAUAGUGAAAAUAUAUGUGGUAUGUGCGUGUGUGUGUGUGUGUGUGUGCUCACACCCAUGAGAAUGCCCGAGAAGAUUGUUGGGUAUCCUGCUCUACGACCCUCUCCCUUGUUCCUUUGAGGUGGGGUCUGCCAUUUCGUCUGGAUGUUUGGAUGCUCCUCCACCCUCUGCCCAUCCCGACAUUGGGGUUAUGGGUUUUUACAGGGCCUGUAGGAUCCAAGCUCGGGUCCUCACGCCUGCAGGGCAACCGCUCUUUGACUGGCAGCCACCCUCUGACCCGAAAUAAGUAUUUUAAAGAAGCAGGAUUCGGAGACUAUGGGCGACAGCCCUAUCCCAGAGUUAGUGUUUGGGGACAAGAGAAGAGAUCAUCAGGCGAGGUCAAGGAAAGCUGUAUGUCCACCCAGCUUUCAUACAGAAAUUCGGAGAAGGACGCAGACUGGCAUGUGCUGUCGUCUGUACUUGGUGCUUAGACACCUAAGUAUUAACUUUCUCCAAACUCUUCACACUUAUGAAUCAAGGAUUAAUCCUUGAGUGGUGGGAUUGAAUUAAGGAAGAGGAAAAGAGAGGGAGGGGCUGGAGGGGAAGAAGGGUAGGGAGGGAAGGGGAGAAGGGUGGAGGGGUUUACUCAGUUUGUAAACAUUUGCUUAUAAGCAUGAGGGCCUGAGUUUGGACCCUUAAAACCCAUUUUUAAAAAGCCAGGCAUAGUAGCAUGUACUUAUGAUCCUAUUACUGGGAAGGAUCCUUGGGGUUUGCUGGCCAGCCUAGCCUACUUGAACAUUCCUAAGCCAUCUCAAAAAACCCCUAGGUGGACACAGCCUGAGGAAUGACACUCAAGGGCUUCCUCUGGCUUCCCUAUGCACACACACAGACAUAAGCACACCACAUGUAAGCAGACAUGCUUCUGUAUGGUUAGAGGUUGAGAGAAGCUGAGAACGAGGAAACGGGGAAGGCAAGGAAGAGUGGGGGUAUGGUGGGAAAAUAGCAUUCCUUUCUUCUCCACAGUGGUCUCUGGUUGGUUAUCAAGCUCUUUGAGAGCUGUGGCAAGGCGUGUGUGUGUGUGUGUGUGUGUGUGUGUGUGUGUGUGUGUGUGACUCUUAUUGGAUAAAAAUAUUCAUAAAAAUGCUAGAGUAUUAAAAUAGCUUUACUUACUCUACAUUGAUGUUGGAGAAGCAAAUAGUACCAGCCUGCUCGUAACUGUCAGGUUAUAGAUGAAGAGGACGCAUCUGUACAAGUUACUCAAGGUCACACACACCCAAGUACUGGCAGAGAUUAACUAGGGUAUCGUUUGUUAUUAACUAAGCUGCCAUUUUAGAGCCCAGCACCUCUUGACUAAGUGACGCCUUUUACAGGACACUAGGGGCUGACUCGUGCCAGGUGACAGUGGGACGGGGUACCAGUGUGACUGCCUACUGUUUGGAAGGCUACUCCUUUGAGAACAAUACAAGAGGGGUGCUGCUUCUCUGACAGUUUGCUCUAUGACACAGGUGGCAGCUUUGAUUUGAGUCACCAGAAGGGAAGAGGUGGUGUUAGGGCUGGUGGGUCAUCUUCCGUUCAGGGCUACCUGGAUGGGGCCAGUCUGAUAAUCGGUUUUAUGACAAGAUUGACCCUGGGCACACACCAUGCUAGCAUUGUCUAAUUACUUUCCAGGCCAGUGGUCAGGAAAGAAAGCACUCACUGAAGUAGGGUUUGCUAUAGCGAGGGCAGAAGUUCCAAGCGUCAGGAGUGUGCUUCACAGGACCUGGAGACACCUCUUCCCUCUGAGCUCGGAGACACUCGUGUUUCUUCUCACUUUCUUUGUUCCUCUAGAAGACGAGAGGGCUUGAUCCCCUGCACCACCAGGGAAGGAAAGGGGGGAUAGAGGAGGAGAGAGGGAGAGAGGACAGAGGGAGAAGGAUAAAAGUGAGGAAGAUAAAGGCAUGAGUGAGAUGCCACAGUGGGUUUUGGAGCUUGCCGACAGCCUGGUGACCCGUGCUGGAUCCCUGGAACCCGUGUCAUGGGAGGAAAGAAUUAACUUUUUCAAAGUUGUCCUUUGUGGCACGUGCACACACGAAUGUACACAUAUACAUGUAUACAUGUAUUCAUGCAUACAACACACGUGCUUAAAUAAAUGAAAGAAGGGACUUGAGCCAGAUAAAGAUUAAAACACAGAAAGAAAUAAAAACCCAGAGGAGUCUGCGUUGUCAUGGUUAAAAUCCAAGGACUUAGAAGCCAGAGUGCCUGGUUGGAAUUCUUGCUGUUAUUUGGUGUAAUCUAAGUUUCAUCUUGACCUCGGUCCUUCAUCUCACUUUCUACACUUGUAAAGUGGGUCUUCUCAUGGGACCUGUCUCAUUGGAUGAUGUUAAAGAAGAUGGCUUGACCUGUUGAUGUCCUCGUCACCAUUUGGUGUCAAUAUUUGCAGAAUGGAUAACUGCCCUUUGCUAGAUGGCUUGCUGGAUGGAAACUUAUUAAUCCAGUCCAGCCAAAGAUAAAUAGGUCCCGGGCAGAAUUCUGAUUAUCGUGGAGGUAAAGGAGAAUUCACAUGGUAAGAGAGAGAGAAAUGGGAGUGAAUUGAGGUAUGUUUGUUUUGGGGGUCACCCUCAAUCCCCUGAGGGCAAUCCUACAUACCCCUUCCCCUUCAUUAUUAUCUGCCCCCUAAUGAUGAACUUUUCUUUAUGUCUGGCAUAGCUGUUGAAGGAGAGAGAGAUGAACUGUAUGACACACACACACACACACACACACACACACACACACACACACACACCUUGCCAGCCAUGGGACCUUAGCUUAGACCAGUGGUUCUCAACCUUCCUGAUGCUGCAACCUUUUAAUACAGUUCUUCAUGUUGCACAGUGACUCCCCAACCACAAAAUUAUUUUCAUUGCUACUGCAUAACUGUAACUUUGCUACUGAUUUAUAUUAUAAUGUAAAUAUCUGAUAUGUAGGAUAUCUGAUACAUGGCUCUUGUUUGACUCUCAAAGGGGUUGGUUGUGACCCACAGCUUAAAAGAUGCUGGUAUAGACUCUUCCAGGUAAUCUUAUCCCUUAAGAAGGUAUUGUUACUUUCUCAAACACUUUAUGAUAUCAGCACAAGGCAGAAGAAGACAUGAGAGAAUGCAUGGGGAUCAUGGGACUAGGAAGCGCUAAGGGACUGGUGGUCCUCUGGUUCUGUGCACUAGGCAAAGGAGGUUCUUCAUCCUGCUCCCCCUCCUAACCCCAGAAAAGCAGCAGUUAACAGGCAUGUGCAACCCAGUGUUCCUGCAUGGAAUUUUGCAAAAUGAAGUCAAUUCUAACCUUUCCUCUUUAAGAACAUUUUUCUCUAUUUAAAGGAUGUAUAGUUAGUGUUGAAAGUACAAAUAAAAAAAUUAUUAAAAAAUAUUAAAAUGACUCUAGGGGUUGGGGAUUUAGCUCAGUGGUAGAGCGCUUGCCUAGCAAGCGCAACGCCCUGGGUUCGGUCCCCAGUUCCGGAAAAAAAAAAAAGAAAGAAAGAAAGAAAAAAAAUGACUCUAAUCCUCAUUGCCAAGAGUUGGAAAGAUCUUGCGUCUUCAAUAAAUGGCUUCUGUAGAAGGUUUUCCAAUCGUACCAUCCUUCGGUGUUAGGAGUGCCAGUCUCCCCUUGUCAGGACCUGAAUAAACUAUGAACAAUUGAAACGAUGGGCAGAUUUUGUAAGCGAAGACUGACAGACAAAUCAUUGUUUUAAAUAUUUUUAUUAAUAUGAUUAUUUUGCCAAAUACCUGUGGUUUGAAGGUGCACAGUUGGUUUAUACUUUUAACUUUUUUGAAAAGUUUAUGGGCUCUUAUUGAUCAAUAAAAGCACUCUAUGCCUGACACAUCAACAAUUUAUGUUAUCGUUAUUGUAAAACAUAAAAUUUAUGUUAUCAUUAUUGCCUUAUUGGUUAUCCAUUACAUUUUUAUGAUUGUAAUCUCUUUUUACAGAUUUAUUAGAGUAUAAUUAAUAUGAGCAACUCUGCAUUCAAGUGCAGGGUAUUUGUGAACUUUGUAUUUAUAUAUAUAGUUUUUAAAGUAUCAACACAAUAAAAAUAAUAAACACAUCCAUCUCUUCCUCCACAGAUUCUCAUUUCUGCUUCCAGCAGCCACUAUUCAAAAUUCUGCCAGUAUACAUUUAUUUGAAAUACCUAGAUGCUUUUAUAAACGGAUUCACACAAUUUAUAUUCCUCUAGGGUUUUUCUUUUCACUCAGCAUAAUUCUUUUGAAAGGCUAGGGAUGGAACUCAGAGCAUUGAGCGUGCU